rnacentral:lncRNA from 1 species
UUGUGUUUUGAUAAUUCGGGUGGGAUUUGAAUCCAGUUUGUUGGUUAGUUUUGUCAUUUUGCUUCCCUUGAGAGCCUUUCGCUUCGUUAAUUCGUGGGAUAGACAGCAUCUCAGUGGGUGGCUUUUGGCUGACAUGAUUCACCGGGUGCAGGCAAUAAUUAUUCCUUUCUCAGCAGCUCAUCAGGCCAACAGUAGCUCCUGUAGCAGUAGUUAAAUUGGAAGGUCUGCUGUCUUGCAGGCAACCUUAUGCUGUUCAUAUCUUUAAGGUGCAUAAGAUUACGAGAUCCCGAUCCCUCAUGAGGUGAUUGAAUGGCAAAUCCGAGCCUCCAUUUUAUUCUCCUAGUUCCUUCUUAGUUAUUAAGAUUUAGUGGUACAGUAAUUUUUUUGUAGCUAUUAAUAUUUAAUGGUACACAAUUUUUCUGUUUUAUCUUUAAUUUCUCAUCCUCUGGCUUUCUUACUGCAUGUAGAAUCUAGGAUGGGUUGUUUCAAACAUUCAUUAUCAAUCCCCUGAAACCCUACUUCGUGCUGGUAGAUGAUGACUAGAUAGAAGUUUGGGGGGUCUAUUUCAAAAUGGUCUAUAGUUGAGGGGAUCUUUAUCCUAUUUAUCCUCUCAAUAUAUCUGAUGGUGAAAAGGUGUUGAUAGUCCCUGUCGUGUCCCAAUACUGUCCCAAUAUUGUGACUUAGUCCUUGAACCUUUUCAAUAACACUCCUCUCUUUCAUCUUUCUUAUAUUCUUGGAAUUUCAUCUCUCCCAUCUCUUUGGUUCAUAUGUUGCAGGCAAAAUCUCUCAUUAGAACUCUGCAUUGUAAUUUAAUUACUAGAGAGGAUUGGCAGGCGCGUGAUCAGUAAUUAGAGGCAGCUCUGGAUGGUCUGCUGUUCUGCAGGCAACCUAGCUUGUACCCAUUUAUCCGGUCAUGGCUGGGGUGGAGGAGGUGGUGGUAGUGAUAAGGAUUGGAUGUAUGUGGGUUCAUAUGAUCCUCUUCUCUGAUUAGGGUAUCACCAUUGCUAUCUUCGCGGCACUCACUUAUUCUCUUGAUCAAAGUUCCUGUAAAGGAUAUCCUUCGUCAUUUACUUCUAUUUCGCAAUUCCUGUUCCUUGAUGUGUUUCGGUAUUUGUGGAAGUUUCUGUUGAUCAUCUUCAAGAGAUGCAGAAUAACCACUUUUGUGGAGUAAAGCUUCUCUCCGCGGUCUUCUGAGAUGUAUACCCAUGAAAUUUUGUGCCUCAGGGUUGAUGAAUGGCUAAAAAUCAAGCUUUUUGAUUUUGAUUGUGCAUUCUUCAUAUGGGUUUAAUUGGUCAGUUAGCUUGGUCCAUUGACACCUCUAAUCUGAGCCAUGCUUCAUUAAUUCAUGGGAUGGAUGACAUUGCCGUUGGUGGUGCAUGUCUGAUCUUGUGCACCGGGUACAGGCCAUAAUUUCUCCUAUCUCUGCAGUCCAUAAGGUCGGCGUUUUGGGGUUCACAUAGCAAUGCUCAAUUGAAAGGUCUGCAUUCUUGCAGGCAACCUUACAAAGUCAUUUGUCUUUAAGGUGCGUAAGACUACAUGAUGCCUCAUGAUAUGAUUGAAUGGCAGAUCUGAGCCUCCCUUUUCUUCUUGUUUCUUUUCAGCUAUUAGGAUUUAUUGUUGUCAUUUUCUUCUUCUCUGUGUUUGUUUCUGCAUGGAGAAGCUAGAUCAUCAAUUCCUAUUCCCUGUACUUUUCAGUGGUUGAUGAUCAGAUUUGAGUUGGUGACUUGGUCGGCUUAUUUCAAGAUGGCCUGUAGUUGAGGGGUCUUCAUACAUUUUACCUUUUUAAUAUGGGUUGGAAUAAGAAUCAGAUAUUAUUUUUCAUCCGAGGCUGGUGAUAUCGGUGACUUUAUCUGAGGAAUAAGAGCUAUUUAUAGUCCCUGUACUAUUCCGAUAUUGUAAUUUGGUCCAAACUACAUCUCCACAACCUUCACUUCGGCACAGGUGUAGUUUCCUAUUAGACCUCUGCAGUGUAAUUCAACCACUACAGAGGUUCCAAGUGUGAUCUAGCAAUGGUGAGGCAGCUAUGGAUGGUCUGCCUUUCCGCAGGCAACCUAGCUGGACCCCUUAAAUCUAAUCAUGAUCUGCCAUGAAGAUAGCAUGCCAGUGUAGCUUCAUCUUUAAGACUCUUCCUCUGUUGAAAGUUUGGAGUGCCAUCUUCGUGGUACAUUUGUUCUCUUGAUCCUGUUAAGAAUACUAGUCCCAUAUUCGAUACUUAAGCUUUUUGGAUUGGUCCGAGACUUUUGGCAUAUCCAACUUCUAGCGAGGGAUAUUUUUAUCUUUUUUUUUUUUUUCAAUUAUUCCAUCUGUCCUUCCUGAUGCCUUUGAUUAUUUGGAGAAGGCGGUAAUGAUUUCUAGCAUGUUGCACAUGAGCUUUCUUCCAAAAUGUUAUGAUUAUUCUAUCCCAGGCUGUAGAAUAUUGAUUUUGCCAAUUGGACGUAGUGGAGGAUGCCGGUCAGCGCGUGUGCGGAGCCUAAAUGAGGUGAAAACGUUUUGGCGCGAAAUGGACGCAAAAACGAAUGAAUAGGGUCAAUCUCUUAUUAUGGAGGACCAAAUCGCAAAUAGACAAAGUUUCGGGCUAAGUUGCAAAAAGGGCAACUUAGUGGAAUUCCACUAAGAGCUCUUAACCUUAUUUUACUGUUCUUUCACUAUUCUGGCCUCCAGUAGACCUAAUGGGAAGAUCGUGGUUAUCGUCGACCGUAUCCACUGGGAACUACUGUUUAGUAGUUCUCACAUCCUUUUGUGGUUUACUUUUGAGGGGUAGGUAUACUGACGGCUGAUCGAGGUGAGGGGGAUCGCGCAGUAGAUACCAUCUCCUACCAGCAUGCCUAGACAUGAGUGGACUACUAGAUAGAGUGCUACUCUGUACUACAUGCAUGUACUGGUGAGGGCCAGGGCUUUUUUUCUUGUACUUUUCUUUUGGGGUUGAGUUUUAUUUGAUAUAGUACAUGAUGUACAGUAGUUUAGUUUGUAGAUAGCGCUCUGAUACUUGUCGUUUGCUUAUUCUGUACUUCAUGUUGAUUCCUGUGUUGUGGAAACUUCUCUAGUGUGACCUCUUGGAAUCCUUUGUCCUGUUCAGUUAUGUUGACGUUUCGUUCAGGCAGGAAAAAACUCUGUUCGUUCGGCGAGUCUGUUGACGUCCCCAUAGGCUUCCGCUGUGGACUUGGGGCGUGACACAGGCUUCCUGAGAUUCAAAGUUUGAAACCCUUGAAAUACUGCUUUAGGUUUCAAAUCUUGGAAGGCUCUGCUUUUCCAGCAGGCAACCAGUUUUGCAUUCAGGGUUCAACCCGUUUUUUCGAAAUUUUUUUUUUUUUUCCCAUAUUAUAUCAUUUCUGACAAAAAGGUUGUAUCCAGUAUUUGAUUUGUGUCCCCAGCUAAGCACUCAUGGUUUCCAACACUGCUCUCCGUUGAAUGUUUGUAUUUGAAUUUGUACUUGGAGAAGUAUGGAAAUAGUCAGUUGCUAUCUGAACAAUAUCCGACCCAUUUUCAUCCCUAGUUAUGUGACAGGUAGUGAUCCUAGUAGAGUCUAGAGACACUGAAGAAGAGAUAUAGUCGUUUCUCACCCUCUAUCAGCGUCUAGAGAGUCUAGAGAGUAAGAGGGAAUCGUUAUCCUGAAAUUUCUUUCCUAAUGUCCAUAUCAGUGUCUCUUUACGUUUUAAUCUUUCUGCUGUGGAAAUCUUAUUUUAGAUUGCUUUACUUCGCUUUCUCGUAUGUCCUGCAUCUAGGUAAUCUUCUUAAUCUAUGUUGUUAGAGCCUUCUUGACUGUCUCUUCUCUCUCUACUUGGGUUCAUCCAUUAACCAGAUAGAAUUGUCCUCUUCUUUUUCUGCAGAAUGUGUUUACCUAAACUAUGAACAAAUGAUAUACAUUUUUUUGUUUUUUCAAUUGACCUCUGAAUAUUGACUUGGUUUCUUUGAUUAAUUAGUUAGUUCACUGCAGUCGGCUUUUUUUUUUUUUUUUUUUUUUUUUUUUUUUUUUUUGGUUUUUGGUUUAUACAUUCUGUUUCCAGCAUAUUUUUUAUAUUAAUGGCUUUACUGUUUACUGUUUUCUGAAUUAGUAUUUUGCAGUUGACAUUUCUCUCGUAUUCCCGUUUCUUUUUAUUAUUUUUGUUAUUAUUGUACCGUUUUGUGUUCUUUCAACAUGCUUGUACAUCUUUCUUCUCUUAUUCUUCUAAUCCCUAGCUACCAUUUUACCAUUGAACCCUGAAUUCUAAACCCUUGGGACAUUGUUUGGUUCAUAAGUGGAGUGAGAAUGGAAAAUAGAAUGACAAACCAUCAACGAAUGUUUGAUUCAUUAUUGACCAAAAUAGUUGUAUAAUUAGGAGGUUCACUUAGAGAGCGGGGGUGUACCGAGUUAUUUAAUAAAAUAUAGUAGAGGACCUACUCGGCAAAAAUAAUAGUUUACGCAGUUAUUUGCAAAAUAACUAAAUUUUAAUUUUUAGGAUGUCUCUGAACAUUUUUUUUUCCUUUAUGAUUUUUUUUUUUUGGCAAUGUUAACUCUACAACGCACCCGUUUUAGACUGUAGAUCUUAUAACUAGAUUAUCCAAAAAGAUAAUCAACUUUGUGCCCUUAAAAAAGAGCUAAUUUCCUCUGUAGCUUUAAAAAAUUAAUAAUUUUUCAUUUACCUUUUAUUUCGAAAAUAUACUCCCGAAAAGAAAAAUUUACAUGCUCCUUUAAAUAUUUGAAAGAAGGAUCAGGUAAAUAUGAAAUUAAUUUUGUAUUGAGGCGUAUAUGAGUAGUGAUAUUAAUGAACACUAAUGUGAUAAUUUUUGUUGAAUUAAUGUUAAAAGUUAAUUAAAAUAAAUAUUACAGAAAAGAAGUUUAGGAGAAAAACCAAAAAUAGGAAAUUACUCCAAAAAUCUCAAAGAAGGAAAAGGAAGGUAAGGAUGUUGUUUCAAAAUAGCUAUUAUUGAGGAGUCUCGACGCUUUUUUGUAUUUGAAAUCAAUGAUUUAAGUGUCUUGGCACGGGAUCGUGCGGAAAUUUGCCGGCACGAUAUGUGCCGAGCCGUGCCGAUGCGUGUCGGUCAAAAAAAUUCUUGCAUGCCGACACAUGGCAACAUGAAAUAUUUAUUUUCUUUAGUAACAAAAUAUUUUAACUAUUUAUUAUAUUUUUUUAUCACAUCUUUUGAACUUUAUUGAGGAAAUUAUUUACUAAUUUAAAGAAUAUAGGGUUUUUAGCUGUGCCAUCGGCACGGGAUCUGUAUCGUGCCGGUAUCUUGUUGGUGCGAUAUGGCACGGUGGAAACGGCCCGUGCCGACGGGUACUUAAAAUCUAGUUCGAAAUGCUGAGUGCACAUGCGGUUGUUACAAAUUAUUUAUAAUUACAAUGUUUUCCACUAUAUCUAAUUAAACAAAUUAUCUAUAUCUAUAUCUCUAUACUUAUACAUUAUUUUCCAUAUAGUCUUGCCACGUAGCGGUCCCUUCUUUAUCUUACCUUCUCCUCUCUUCUCUAAUCACAAUUGUUUCAGCCGCACAAAACCUUUGAUCUUCCAAUCAAUGAACGAUCUUAAACCCACACUCUUCGUUUCCCCACUAAGGAGUUACUAACGCAUUAUUAACUUUAAUAAUUAAUAAUUACGAUGAUCCGCACAAUUAGCACCACUAAAACCCCAUCAUCAUCAUCUCCUCUUUCUCGGAAUCAAAUAUCACACUCUAACAAUGUCCUAUGUUAUAAACCAACUUUUCUAUCUAUUAUUCUUAUUAUUAUUCUCGAACGCGAGGACGAACCCGUCAACGCCAUUCGGGUCGAGCCAUGAUUGUUCAGGCACAUUGUUUGGGUUCAGCGUAUGCUUGGAGUUAGUGGAGGGCGGGGCGAACGGGUCCAAAUCGGGGUUGCUGCUCUGGGUUCGGUCACGUGCUGAGUCGGAGUGUCACGUGCCUCUGUGAGGCCAUACGAGAUAGGCGUACCCGUGAACGUCACCAAAGCUCUCGCUUUGCCCUUGCUUUGUGGGCUCUCCUACACGCCAAUUGUCCUCUGUUACAAAACUAAGAGGUGUAUUUUUUUUUUAUGGUCCAAUUUCACCUGUACAAAUUGCUUUCAUAAGAAAAAAUAAGUAAAAUAAAAUUUUUUUGUACUCUUUUUUUCCCUUUUUUUGGCGCAUAAGAAUGGUUUAUAUUUUGUAAUUUUUUUAAUUUUUUUUAUCUUUUUGUUUUUAAAUUGUAUGUGUACUGAAAUUAGGGUUUUGUGGAUUGUAGAGCAGCAAAGAUAGAUUUGGAGUCAACGAGAGAAAAGAAGUGGAAUCAACGUGGCUGUGACGAAAAGGAGCUCGACAUUGAUAAUGGCGACAAAGGUAAUGUGGAGAUGGGGAUUCGUCUUCCCGAUGUCGGUAGUGAAAUCAAGAUACGUAUGGAGUAAUAAUUCUAUUGCUGCUUCUUUCAUUACUAUUUUUUAUAACUUAUUUAAUGAAAUUAUAAAUUUUGUUACAUUUGUACGUAUAUCUGUUUCAUCUCUUUUAUUUGUAUAUAUGUUAAUAUAUAUUAUUUUUAUUUAUUAAUGUCUUAUGACAAUUCAAAAAAUUUAAAAUUUUUACUUUAUGAAUUUUUUGUCUUUCUAUAGCAUCAAUCCGCCGCAAUGCACGGAUAAUUUCACUAGUAUAUACUUAUAACUGCGGCAUGAGUUGUAAAUCUUAUAUUUCACGAUUUAAAGGCUAAUUGUUACACACUAGUUAUAUCGACAUAAUUUGAUAUAGCUAAUAUGCAGCAUGUAACUCUUAUAAUGAGAUGUAAAAUGUAUACCCAGCUUUUGAGUUUACAGAUUUGUUUGUUAAUUCGCGAAUUAUUCACGAAUUAUUAAAAAUUCAAAUUAAACGGUCCGUUUACGAAUUUUUUUCAAAAAAAAAAAUUAUUAGCGAAUUUUUUGGCCAGCCGAAUAAUUCGCAAAUUAUUUUCGAAUUAUUGAAAAUUUAAAUAAAAAACUUAUAAUUUUUAUGUUUAAAUAUAGAUUAUCUUAUAUUUUAUAUAAAUAUGAGUUCUCUGUUCAUUCUCCCCCCCAAAAAAAAUAUUUAUAUAUAUUUUAUAAUUAAUAAUGGGCUAUUUUAAUCUAUUUCUUGCUUGAUUGUUUAUAUACCAUAGUGUAUAAUAUAAUUCUCUAUAGUUUUUUUUUUUAUUUAAUCUACUUUAUUUUGUAGCUUUUUAUUCUUAGAAUUGUAAAUGUUUACAAUAGUAGUAUAAAUCUAGAAAAAAAAUUGAAGUUUAAUAGGCAAAUUUUUUAUCCCGAAUUUUUAAUUGAUGAACGUAUAAUUUUCGUAUAAAUCACGUAUCCGAAUAAUUACCAAAUCCAUUUUUUAAGUCGAAUUUUUUAACAAAUUAAAAAAAUUAAAAAACGAAUUUUAUACGUAUUAUAACCGUACCGAAUUUUUUCCGAAUCCGAAUUAACUAACUAUGGUUUAAAGGUAGCAAUGCUCUUUUCAUACAUCCUACUUUCGUUUGAUUUAGCCCAUUUUCUAGUAAUACAAUAAAUCCUUCUAGAAAAUAACUUGGAACUAUAUUACAUUUUAAGAGAGUCUGAGACUUAUGCUGGGUUUAUUCCGAAAAAGUUAAAUUGGAGGUUUGGGUUUCAAAACUAUUGAACCUUCUUUUCAAAACAACUUAGAAUAUUUUAGGUAAAGAUAAUACUCUUGUUUUUGAAUUUACAAUAUCAUGUUUUCAUUCUUUAGAAUUUUUUUUUUCAUCGGUCAACUUUGUUUAUUUAAUGUACCCAAAAAUAAUCUUUGAAAAAUAUAAAAUAUGGUAUGUCAUAUUUGACAGUUGUUGACAUGAACGCAUUCUUAAUUGAAAACGAGUUUAUUUCAGUUCAUUAAAAAUUGCUCAAUCUUACAAUCUUUGUGUUAUUCUAUCAUGAAUUCAACUUUGGAGUUAUUUUAUCAUGAGAUUGUUCUGAUUAACUUUUGCUUUUAUUGUUAUCCAUAUUAAUAUUCACAUUUAUUAAUUUCCUCUAUGAAAGUCUUAGAAAAGAGAAAUUUCGCACUUUCUUUACUCUGAGACAUUUUAUUUAGAUAUUUACAAGCAAAUAUACAUUAAGGGUGUGUUUGGUUCGCAUUAUGAAAGAUAACUAGGAAUAAAAGAUAUCCUAGAAUUUUAUUCCUAUUCAUCCUAUUACUAAGAAUGUGGAAUUCAUGUGUUUGGUUUGCACGGUAAUAUUAAUUAGCCAUAUUAUUUAAUAUUACAAAAAAUAUACAAUUUAUUUAUUUAUUUAUUUAUUUAAUUUUAGAUAAUGUUACCAAAAAUUUCAACAUCUUUUUAGAAAAAAAGAAGAGAGAGUAUAAAUUAGAGAGAGAGCGCAUAAUUAAAAAAAUAGAAAGAAAAAUAUAGUCGAAAUUAGAGGAAGUGAGAGAGUUGAAAUUUUAGAAAAAGAGAGAGAGAGCAAGCUUAGUUUAGAGAGAGAAAAAAAAGUUGAAUUUUAGAGAGAAAAAUAAGUUUAGAGAGAGAUAUAAUGUUAGAGUAUAAAAAAAAAUAAUAUCAAUUAGCCGGCGGAUAGGAAGAAAGAAAGAGAUUAGACAUAUUAUGAUUACCUCAAUCCAUUAAUAAAAGGAUAUCCAUCCUCCUCAAGGGAAUGAGAUUAGUACUUUGGGGUGAAUCUUAUUCCUAAGUGAAUCCAAUAUUACCAACUAGAUUACUUAGUGCGUUUAGCCAAACACUGUCAUAUUUUUUUAUUCCCAUUGGAUUACUAGGAAUCUUUAAAACAUAGCGCGAACCAAACGCACCCUAAGAUUAUUGCACUAACAUUGGGUACAUUAAACUUGAUAGAAUACUUUUCUACUACUUUACUCUUAGAACUAGUUGAAAUCUAAUUGACCAAAUCCUAAUUGUUUUAGAUUGAUGGGCCUGGUUGCAAUUCAAAUAAAUUUGUAGAAUACUUUUGUUUAUUUUAUGUCCUGCUCUGAUGGGAUAUUUACUAGUGAUGUGCAACAAUUUUGGAAUAUCUAACUACAACUAUGGAUUCAGACUGACUUGUGUCCAGUUAUGGGUCAGAACUGUUUUGGGUUUUGAUUUUGUGUCUAACUAUGUAUCAAAACUUAACUGGGUCUUAGCUUUAGAUCUGAUUUUUGAGUCUAAUUAUGGGUCAAAACUAAAUUUGCCUUUGAUUUCUGAUCUACUUAUGGAUCAGAAUAAAUUAUAAUUACAUCUAAUUAAGAUUUGAAUGAUUCUAAUAAACGGCCAGAACUGAAAAAGCACUAGUUAUGAGUCUAAUUAGUUAGAGAUUUUACUUAAUGAGAAUCCUAUUUUGCUAAAACUAAGUUAGUGUUUUUCACCUUCUUUAUUCGAAUAAUAAGAUUAUUCUCUAUGAUUUGAAAGCCUAUAUAUUAGCAAAUUAAACAAAGAAAUAAAAAAUUAUAUAAAACAUUACAUAUAAUAAUAAAAUUCUUUCACAUCAAUAUAUAUUGUUUAAAACAAAUUUCACAUACAAAUAAUAUACUAAAUAUGCAUAUUCCACAAAUUAAAAAAACUAAUUAUUUUCAACUACGUAUGCGCCAAUUGCUAUUGCCAUGCGACUCAAAAGUUCGCGCUUUACUUUUGCAUAGCCGUCCGUUCCCCAAUGACUACCCCAAGAGUUUUUUAUCAAAUAAUAUUUGACGUCGUUUUCUACACCGUAUCCAACUAUAGUCACGGAGUGGCUCCCUCGUUUUUUUUCUCCAACAUGAGGACCCAUAUACACAACCUACAUGGAAAAAAAAAAUAGUCAUUAUCAAAUUAAAAAAAGGUCAUUAUCAAAUAUUAUAUUAUCAAAAGUUAAUUAAAAUUUAUAAGUAUUAGCAUAUAAAAAAUUAUUCAUUAUUAAAUAUUAUAUAUCAAAACUUAAAUUUAUAAAUACUAACAUCUCUCGGUAGAUGAGUAAAGCUGUUAUAUAUGUUUAUGGCAGCAGCAAUAGGUCGUUCUCUCAAAAUUUCUUCGAUUUCUCCCUCAUUAUGUCUUCUUUCCAAUUUGCUCUGAAAAUCUUGAAUCUUCACUCUCUGCUUCUUCUGUAAAAAAUAUUUAAAAUUAUCCAAUAAUUAAUAGAUGUAUUAAUACUAAAUAAGUUUUUUUAGUGUAUAAGUUAACUUACAUCUUCAUUCAUUUGACAAUAUUGGCGUCGUGCAACAUAUGGAUUAUCAGCUUCCAUGGCAAUACCAUAUGUUUUGAUGUACUCUAAACACUUGCUAUGUGUGCACUGUAUACAUCCAACGGCGUCUAUAUGUUGUUCACGGGAAGAUGGAUACAUUUCAUGAUAACAGUUUACUAGCUCUUGUUUUGAUAAUUCAAUGAGUUGACCAUACUUUUUUGCAUAUUCUGCUUCAACUAAAGUGGUGGAAGAAAAGGCAUAGCAACAUUCUUCGUAUAAUUCAUUAAAGAAAAAAAACAUUAGUUAAUAAAACAAUAAUGAAUUGUAUUAAUCUCUACAAAAAAUCAUUCUAUUAAGUAUACUUACGACACUCUCUUUGAUUUCCUACGUCCUCCCGAAUUAUAUUAAUUGGCUUGUCGUAAAUCAAAAGAUGCCUAUCAUAUUAAAACAAAGAUAUGAAAAUGAGAAUUAAGAAAAUAAGUAAUUUCUAUAUAUCAAAUAAAAAGUAUAAUCUAUGAUAAUUUUUGUUAUUUGAUAACUUUUUUAUUGGAAAAUUAGGAUAUUCGCUUAUUUUAACGAACUUAGUUUAUUUUACAAAAUUCAUUUGCAAAUAGCUCGAGGUAAAUUAAUUAAAGAAAAUUUAGUAGAAUUAAAAUUAUUAAAAUAUUAGUUGGUAAAUCAAAACUUAAACUAGAUUAAAACUAAUCCUAUUUUAAAUAGGUUUCAUAUAUAUAUAUAUAUAGCUAACGACUCAAAAUUCUUUUGAGUUAUUACCAUGUUAGUGUGGGUUGCGAGGUGGAGUUAGAAACAGACCCAAUAAAAAUAAUCUUAUCUAUCAAAAAAAUGCACUAUAUAAUUUACAAAGUGCAUGGUUAUGUGGGAGUGAGAUUCUCUUCUCACACUUUCAUUGGAUAAAAAUGUGUGAAAGUACUAUUAUACAUGAGAUUUGCAUUGAUACUUUGGCAGCCAGACUAACUAAAUUUAAAUUAUAUUAAUUACCUAAGGUCUCGUUUGGCAUGCAUUGUUGCUGGUUAUAAGAUUAUCAAGAAAAUGCACUUUGUGAUUUACAAAGUAGUUCAAUGUGGGAGAGAGGUUCUCUUCUCACACUUUUAUUGGAUAAAAAUGUGUGAAGUACUAUUAUACAUGAGAUUUGCAUUGAUACUUUAGUGACAAACUAAUGAAACUUAAAUUAAUUAAUUAAGUAAGGUCUUGUUUGGCAUGAAUUGUUGCUUCUCGUUUGGCAUGCAUUAAUUUGUUGCUAGUUUUUACUUUCUUAAAUAUAUAAAAAUUUUAUGUCAAAAACUAUAAGAUUAAAUGAUGUACUACAUGUAUAUGACUUUUGCAUUGCAAGUUAAACAAAUCAUGAUAAGAAAAGAAAAAUCAUCCUACAGAAAUCAAAUUAAGCAUAUGAAAAUAUAUUGUGUUUGAAAAAAAAAAUUAAAAUAAUAUAAAAUAAAAUCUAAAAUAUUUUACUAUAUGCACCGUCUAAUUGAGUAGCUGAUAAAAUUUAAAGAUAACAAUUUAUCACUACUCUAUAAAAAAAUAAAUAUUUUGAAGAAAAUGUGUAUAAUACUAGCAUUCACGUACGGGAUUUGCAUGGGACCAUGGGUACUUCUCCCACCGUCUAAAUUUGAGUAACUAGAGAUAACUAAAGAAUACACAUGCACGUUAACUACUUAGCUUGAGUUAAUUGAGUGAGCUAUUUUUACGUAUUAGCUAAAUUGGUUCAUGAUUCACUUGUGAGGCCUCUUUGGAGAAAUUGUUGCCUGCAACCAACAUAUAAUGAUGCAUGCAUUAGUGGAAGAAUCUAUGCUUUUAGAUGGAUGAGAUGUAUAAGUUGUGAACCUAACAUAUAUAAGUUGCAUUGCUCAUAAAACCAAGUAAUAAUUUCACAAAAAGUUCAAAAAUUGGUAGUACAAUUAAUGUACCUAAUUUUAAAGUUCAAAUGCGCGCACCAGAAUCUUUUAAAAUUUUGCUCAAUCAUCCAAACUUUAAAAGUUUCUUAUUUGUCAUCCAGAACUUUCAAUUCUUUAACAUUUAACUACUUACUUUAUACUUUGUUAAUUUAAACUGACUGACAAUACCUAAAUGGUCAAGAAACAAUAAACAACACAUGCCAAAGCUAUAGAAAGGAAUUUUUUUUUUUUUUUUUUCCAAUGAUGGAAUUUAGUUUUACAGUAAAAAACAUAUUUUUUAUUAUUAACUAUUAAAAAUUAUAGUGAUAUUCUCAGCAAAAGAAAUAUUAAUGAAGUGUGUUUUUUUUUUUUAUUAUUUCUUGAUCAUUUGGCUAAUUAAUAUUAUAGAAACCUUAAAUAUACAAAAUAUUGGAAAUACGUUCUAGGUGAUAAAUAUAUAAUUUCUGUAGUUACAGAUGGUUAUGUGCAUCAGACUGAAAGUGGAAGUGCAAUCAACCCCUAUUUUCAGACCAAACUUUCCAUGAAUAAAUAGAUAGUUUUAAAAUUUUUACAGUAGUAGUACAUCCAUAUAUACUAGUUAAGGACCCAUGCGAAUGCCGCGAUAUAAAAUAUUCUAAUCAUAAAAUUUAGUUAAUUUUUAUUUUUUAUAAAAAUUUAUUAGCUUGUUUUUUUAAUUAAAUAAGUAAUAAUUAAAUUAAUUUAAAUAAAAAUAACUUAAGUUAGUACAUAUACGACAUAAAUUUUUAUAUUAGAUUAUUAGUGAUCAUCUCGUUAAUAACUACAAAUGUAUAAGUGAAUGUGUUAAAUUAUUAAGCUAAUUACAACACAAUUUAUUAUUUUGUAAAGGUAUGUGUAUCAACUAGGAUUCAAACUAGGAACUUCGGGUAUCAAGUAACAAGUCAUUUGCUGCUUGCGCUAGGGACGGUCGAUAAUGACCUCUCAUAGUUGAAGAGGAGAGUUAGGGUGACACAUGUUUUAUGUGCUUUCCUUAACUCUCCUUUCAGAUAUUACUGGUGAAGGCAUCCACAUGUUACAGUGGAUUGGUACGGCAGAAAUAAAUAAAUAAAUAAAGCUAAAGAAAGAAAAAAUAAUAAAAAAAAGAGUCAAAGAAUAAAAAUAAAAACAAACUAAAAAAGAAGCAGCAACUAUUGCAGUAAAAGUAUAAGAAUAAAAGUAUAAGAAAAGUAAUAAAAAAAAAAAAAGAAUAAAGGCAAAAUAAUAAGAAUAAUAAAUUCAAUUUAUAGCAUCAGUGAAAGUUGAGAAUUAAAAUGUCAUAUGCCUGAGAGUUUGAUUCAGAAAUUGUAACUAAUUAAAGCUUGAGAACUAAUAAUUUGAGCAAGAAAUAAUAAAGCAUUAAAGUUUGAAAAUUAAAGUAUUACGGAUUCUAUAAUUUGAGUAAGAAUUAAUAGCGGCCAUUUGAUAAUCGCCGUUAUCAAAUUAUCGCUAAAUUAUUAUUUUAUUGUAGUGACUGUACUCAUAUAUUUUGUCUUGAAUGAGAAUUCUUUUUAUUUUGGAAGGAUGUUGCAUUCGAUGUGCGAAAAAAUUUCGAGCCCGCUAAUCCCGUGGCGCGUCUUGCCACUCUGGCUCGUUGCCGUCACAUCCUGUCGAGGGAACAAGAAACCGGCAGAUCGCGGAGUUUGCCCACUUUCUCUUUCUCCCUUUCUCCCUAUCUGACUAUUAGGGGUGGAAACGAGCCGAGCUCGAGCGAGCUUAUGUCAGCUGCCGAGCAAGCUUAAUCCGAGCUUUUCGAGCUUAUAUAUAUAUACAUAUAUAUAUCAUCCCGAUAACACGAUAAUCCUCGUGUUGUUUGGAACACAAGGAUUCAAGAAUUGACAGGUAGUUUAAACUAACUACCAAUCCCACUUUCUCUCUUCUCUUUAACUUCUUUUCUUUAAAAGAAGUUAAAGAGAAGAGAGAAAGUGGGAUUGGUGGGUAGUUUAAACUACCCGCCAACUCUUGAAUCCUCGUGUUCCCAUCGGGAUGAGAUAUAUAUAUAUAUAUAUAUAUAUAUAUAUAUAUAUAUUACAUAAAAUUAAUAUAUAUCCAAAAUUAAAUUAAACCCGACAAUAACAACCGAGUAUUUUAUUUGGGUUGUUCAUGUUGGCACGUUAACUCGGGUUGAGUGUUAAAUAUAUUGUGUGAGAGAAAAAGUCUGAAAGUGACAACGUGUAUUGGGAUUUUGCACUAUUGUAAGUUUAAAGGUUUAGGGAUUAAAAAAAGGGGGGGAGAGAGAGAGAAGAGAGAGAGAGUCUGGGAGUGGGUCAAUCCGCCAGUGGGAUCGAGUGUAAAGAACGUUAAUAAAAUAUAAAACUUGAUAACCUGUACAACGUAGUUUAACAUCCAUUACAAGAUAUUUUUAAUUUGAUGACUAAUAUAUUACAGUUCUUAAAGUUAGCCGAGCAAAUCUCGAGCUCGAGCCGAGCUGAGCUUUAAUCCGAGCGAGCUCGAGCGGAGCUUAAUUAAAGUUCAGCUCGAACUCGGAUCUAAAUCCGAGCCUUAAUUAAAGUUCGGCUUAAACNCUCUCCCCCUCUCUCUCGCACGCCACUCUCUCUCUCUCUCUCUCUCUCUCUCUCGCACGAACACCUAUCAUCUUCUAUUGCGCCGUCCUCCCAGGUAAUCAUCACGAUCUCCUUCCCUCCAUUCGUCAUUUCUGUAAAAAAUAAUAUUCAAAUGACCACAACAAGGGUAAUUUUGAAAAAAACUAUACUUUUAUGUCAGGAUUACUAAAUUUUAUAAACUGAACCAAACGUAUUAAUGCUAUAAACACUGUAAUCUAAUAUUACAUUACUGAAUUAAACCAAACGUACUAAUACAGCAUCAGUAGUAAUCUCACGCCGAAAUUCAAGAUACUUGGAUAUGUCGAGAUACUUUGUAAUAUUACAUAACUCGAACCAAACGGGCCCUUAAUAUAAUCAUUCUUCUUCUUUUGCUAUUGUCGUUAUUUUUUUGUUUCGUCUUUUUUCUUCUAAUAACUUUGUUAUUAUUGUUGUUCUUGCUGGUUCUUCUUCUUGGUUCUUCUUCUUUAGCUUCUUUUUUUAUUUUUUUAUAUUUUUACUGCUACUAUAAAUAUAUUUAUUAUUCUUAUGUUUGUGUCUUUAUUCUUUUUUCAUUUCUUUUAUAUUUAUUAUUCUUAUGUUUGUGUCUUUAUUCUUUUUUCAUUUCUUUUUAUGCUUUUAUUCUUAUAUUUUAUUGCACCACCUGUUGCUGCUGCUGCUUCUUCUUCAACUAUUACUUUUUUUCUAAUUCUUUAGUUUCUUUAAAUUUUUUUAUGUUCUUAUUGUUUUUUUCCUUCGGUUUUUUUCUUAUUUAUUUGUCUCCACAUAACUGACUUCCCGCAACGCGCCGGUGUCUUCACUAGUUUUACAAUACCAGCUAGUCUACUACAGACCGUAACCCAAGAACAACUUUUAUAACUUGAGCUCUCUAUAUUACUCUUCAGAUUUGCUAGAAUUCAACUCUUUAAGAGCAGACAACUUAGCAUGCCAUCAAAAUAUCUAGUUUAAUGAUCCGCGUUUUGUCGAUGUCAUAGAUUUCUUUGCAUAAAUACAUGCUUAAUCUGAAAGCGAUAACUUAAUCAAACGAUUUAGUAAUCCAUCAUUCCCAAUUUAAAGAAACCAAAGUUGAUAAAUCUAGUGGAUUAGAAUGGAUUGUCAAACAUGGCCUUCAAAUAAUUAGCUGCAAUAGUUAGGAAAUGCGCGAUAAGAUUGGCAAAGCACAAAACAAACAGCGAGCGAUUUUGUAUCCACUAAACUCCUCUAAAGCUGAUCUAGCUAUUAUGUCCAGAUGAUACAAUUUGGAACUCAGAAUAUGGCAUGUAAAAACAGUUUUCCUAGGGUAAUAAGGUUAACAUGCAAUGGCUAGUAUAACUCAAUUCUUAAUUCUUCACUUAACAACUUGGGACUAACGAAUUUGUCCAGGUCUAAAUCAACAAACCAGAAUUUAGACCGUGCGCAUUUCAAUUUCCGCAACUUGGACCAUUUGUGAACGACAGAGUCGUGCGCGAACAUGUUUGCUUCACAUUAUCAGUUGUUUGGUCGAGAUCUCAGCUGGAAAGUGCAUCUAUAAAGAUAGCANUUAUUCUUUUUUCAUUUCUUUUUAUGCUUUUGUUCUUAUAUUUUAUUGCACCACCUGUUGCUGCUGCUGCUUCUUCUUCAACUAUUACUUUUUUCUAAUUCUUUAGUUUCUUUAAAUUUUUUUAUGUUCUUAUUGUUUUUUUCCUUCGGUUUUUUUCUUAUUUAUUUGUCUCCACAUAACUGACUUCCCGCAACGCGCCGGUGUCUUCACUAGUUUUACAAUACCAGCCCAAGAACAACUUUUAUAACUUGAGCUCUCUAUAUUACUCUUCAGAUUUGCUAUAAUUCAACUCUUUAAGAGCAGACAAUUUAGCAUGCCAUCAAAAUAUCUAGUUUAAUGAUCCGCGUUUUGUCGAUGUCAUAGAUUUCUUUGCAUAAAUACAUGCUUAAUCUGAAAGCCAUAACUGAAUCAAACGAUUUAGUAAUCCAUCAUUCCCAAUUUAAAGAAACCAAAGUUGAUAAAUCUAGUGGAUUAGAAUGGAUUGUCAAACACGGCCUUCAAAUAAUUAGCUGCAAUAGUUAGGAAAUGCGCGAUAAGAUUGGCAAAGCACAAAACAAACAGCAAGCGAUUUUGUAUCCACUAAACUCCUCUAAAGCUGAUCUAGCUAUUAUGUCCAGAUGAUACAAUUUGGAACUCAGAAUAUGGCGUGUAAAAACAGUUUUCCUAGGGUAAUAAGGUUAACAUGCAAUGGCUAGUAUAAUUCAAUUCUUAAUUCUUCACUUAACAACUUGGGACUAACUAAUUUCUUACAAUGUCAUCCUUAAGCAGGAAGAAUUUGUCCAGGUCUAAAUCAACAAACCAGAAUUUAGACCGUGCGCAUUUCAAUUUCCGCAACUUGGACCAUUUGUGAACGACAGAGUCGUGCGCUAACAUGUUUGCUUCACAUUAUCAGUUGUUUGGUCGAGAUCUCAGCUGGAAAGUGCAUCUAUAAAGAUAGCACAGAGAGACAUUAGGUAGGCCAACAAAAUCUGCUUAACUGAAAAUUUGGAGGGCAAAGUAAAUAUCUACCAAACAUGAAGUGAUUACCCCCUAUUCUUUCUAAUUCAUAGUACAAUUCAGACAUGAGAUCUCUUAUUUCUUGCAACAGCUAAAGCCUAUUUCUGCCAAAUAUAAAACUGCAGUACAGUUUGGCCCAAAUAUCUCUUUCAAUUGCCAAAAAAUCAACAAAGAUUAACACUGUAAGUCAUAAAAUUGUUAGAUUACCUCAAACUUGGAAUGCAUUUGGUUCUGAACGACAAUCUAUUAGCGGCAAAGCAUCAAUGGUAAAGCAGCAACCAGGAGAAGAACAGAAUUAUAAAUGACACCUUAAGAUUCUAGAAUUCGCAAACCAUGUACCUUGAAAUUAAACUGAACCAUCAUCAAAGACCAGAAGCAACUCCAUCUACGAGAAAUAAACCUUCCAAAUUGCCCUACCGUUCAAACCUUUAUAUAUGGAUUGGAUCGAAGAACAGGGAAUAAAAAUGCAGAGUUUCCAAGAUCCACAUUUAAUUAACUGUUUGUUUAGCAUGACCAUUUUCUCUAUUGCAAGAAGCAAACAACAGCAUUUGAAACAGGAAAAGCCCUCGUCUUUUUCUAUGGCAGCAAACUGAAAUAAAAUUUCAUUGACUUGUCUGUCUCCAAGAACUAAGUAGGAUUUAUUUCUCACAAAUAUAAAGGCAAACAAGCAAACUCAAUAUAUUGUUAUAUUUCAACUGCCUUUCAGACAAAUACCAGUCAAAAAUUAGUAGAAGCCAAUACCACUUAGAAUAUAAGGGCAACAUAUUUGCAUAAGGUAUGUGUUUUACACUACAAAGUUUUGUAUCUCACACCGAACCCUACAAGUAGAUAAAUUUGACUCUUCACGAGAGCACCAACAAACUCCCAUAUUCAGGAAAAGUAGCAUCUUUUAUUUGUUAAAGCAAAGAUAAGAAGAUAAAAUGCUACAAUAUAACUUGUUAAAGCCUCCAAAGUACUAACAUCAAUAACUAAGAACUUAAAAUAAAGAAAAACCAGCAAUCAAAAUAUAUAUAUAUAUAUAUAUAUAUAUAUAUAUAUUUCCCACCAUUAUGCACGACCAAACAGCACCUGAAUGGCGAAGCAGCCUGGUGUAGAGCAUGACAUUCGGCCUACAAAGCAAAUAAGGAAACAUCUAGUUGUGUUAUUGCAAAGAGACAGAAAAUUUAAACAAACAAGUAUUGCUAAUUAUAUUUCAUUAAUUAGCAUAAUCAUAUAAAGAUAACAUGGAGCAUGUUAUCCAACACUUUAUUAGGAAUACUCUCAGGAAGCAUUAGAAACUAUUCUGCAACAAUUGAUAUGCAAGAAAUAAUUAGCAUCUCUUCCUGAAUCUUAUGAGAAUCAGUAAAAGAUAUAGUCCUCCUAACAAUUCAAAAGCCUCAUCCAAAUUCCUAAUUUUACAAGUCCAAGAAGUUACCAAUUUGGACAAAUAUAUAGCUAGCUAAUGUCGUAGCUGAAAUUUUUUUUCAUUAAAAAAAUUAGCACAAUGAGGAAAAAAUAAAAACUUAACAUAAAACAAAGUUGAACAUUGAUGUAACUAAGCAUUGGAAGUAGAAAUACAAGACGAACAGAAUAAAUAAUUUUAGCAUAGGAAACCUCAUUCUCCUUUUCUACAACAUAUCGCAUGACGCAUGGUUUUCAAGUUAGACAACAGAUAUCGAAUUAAAUAACAAAUGCUCUAAUUAAUUUAAGUACUAUAUACACAAACUAUGACCUAACUAUACAAACAAAUAAAUAAAAAUAUACCUUUACUAACUCGCAGUUGGCUUGAGUCUACAAAGAGCAACUCUAAUGUUACGUUGCACCCCAUAAAACACCUUCGCCUGGAAGAUUUUCCACUCAGCUUCACUGUCAACUGCUUGGAAGGUAACAUAGUACCAAAGUCCUGCUGCGACACUACACGUUGCCUUCUCUAUUUUUACAAACACAUAACUCAUAUCCUACAUUACGAAAACAUCACGAAAUCAAUUUUAUCAAAAAAAAAAAAAAAAAAAAAAAAAACACACAAAGAAAUAAACAAUAAGAAAAGACAUACACAAGGCAACAUGAACAUACAUUUUCCUUAUUAAAAUGUUCGAUUGCCAAUUUAGUACAUCUGAGAAGAAUUUCAUCAUCAAAAUCCGUGAUCGCCGUAAGGCCAAACUCACAAGUGCCUGGAAAUGGAUCAACAUCGAAUCCCUGUAAAAGACAUGUAUUAACAAUUAGUGAAAAAAAGGUUAUGAAACUUUAACUCUCAAAAAGAAGACAAUAAUUAUUAAACACCUCGCUUUCCUUGAUUUGUUUGUAAUAUCUGUCCCAUUCUUCGCGAGUCCUACUGCGAUUACCAUUAGGCCAAACAUAAACCUCAUCUUCCUCUGAAGUAUGCUCAUAAACCCUUUGAUCCUUCUCGUUCCCUUUCUCUUCCUCCAUUUCACUUUGGGUAUCUUCCUCCUUGCCCUCUUCCCUCAUCUCUUCGCUUUCUUCCUGCAGUUUCAACUUCUUCUGCAGCGGCCCUUCAGGUAUCAGGUUCUUGGAAUUCUGCCUGUAUCACAAAAUGAAAUAUAUCUAUCAUAAAAAAUUUAAACAAAUUUCAAUCAAAACUAACGACAAUUUAAAAAAAAAAAAUCUUAAAUUGGCUCAAAUAGAAGAAGAAUUUAGCCGAUGCAUACGAAACAGAGACCAAACAGGGCAUAAUUCAGGUGAUACAUUCCUAGAUUAGGAUUUUCUAAUUACGGAAUAAUAUAUUAUUUAUUUUAAAAUAUUUCAGUUGUUUCCAAUAAAGUGUAAUUAGGGUUAGGUUAUAGAAAUGUGUAUCUUUUAGGGUUUGGAGAAUAAGAAGAAAUUGGUCGUGUUGUUCUCUUCUCCCUUAUCUAUCUUUAUCUCUCUAAUAUCUCUCUCUUUAGGAGGUUCGAUCCCCUCGAAGUGAUCGUUUAUCCCUAUUGAUACUAAUAUCUCUCUCUUUAGGAGGUUCGAUCCCCUCGAAGUGAUCGUUUAUCCCUAUUGAUACUAAUAUCUCUCUCUUUAGGAGGUUCGAUCCCCUCGAGGUGAUCGUUUAUCUCUAUUGAUACAAUACAACGGUAUCAAUUGGCAUCAGAGCCUUGUAUGUAUAGUGUAAACUCCAGCAAAAAAAGAUUUUCUGAAGAAGAUGAAUGGGGAUUUCAUAAGAAAAGAAGAGAUGAACGCUCGGUUUUCCAAUGUGAAGGCCCAACUCAACAAAGUGGAGACCGAGGUAAAGCUCACUAGCGAUUCUAUUAAUGAUCUCAAAAAUUUGAUCAUCCCUAUGAGCACGAAGAUGGAUUUGCAGCCGCAUACGCCAUUUGAAGAUACAUUCGUCUCGAAUUUCGACAAAAAUCAUCCCUUGCUCCCAACUCCUAUUAAGAAGGAAGCAUUGAUCCUAUUCAAAAUGUUCGUGACUAUCAGGCUCGACUCGAAAUGCUUGCCAAUCGCACUUAACAUUUUUCAUAAGUUUCUUGCCAAUCGCACUUAACAUUUUUCAUAAGUUUCUUCAUUAGUGGGCUGAAGGAGGAUCUAAAGUAUAACGUCCGAGCCUUCCGACCAACUUCUAUAUCAGCUGCUAUUGGUCUUGCUCGUCUACAAGAGGAGAAGUUAAUAGCUCAACAUCGUAUUAUGAAGCCUAAGCCUUCCCUUUUGUGCCCUUCCAUGACACCAAUAUCUAAUGAGGCGCUUCCACCCAUAAAGCGCCUUACACCGGCUAAAGCAAAAGUAAGAAGAGAUCAAGGCCUUUUGCUACAAUUGUAUGAAAAAUAGUCCUGGACAUCGAUGAAAAUCAAAGCAACUAUUUUUGAUCGAGGCCGAACGUGAUGAAAACAGAGAAGAUCUAAAGAGGAUAGGCAAAGGUUGAGGAUUUUCCAUCUUGAGGGCAAGGUGGCUAUCGAGGGCGGUGGAAUGACAUAUUCCUAGAUUAGGCUUUUUAAUUAUGGAAUAAUAUAAUAUUUAUUUUAGAACAUUUCAGUUAUUCUCAGUAAAGUGUAACUAGGAUUAGGUUAUAUAGAUGUGUAUCUUCUAGGGUUUGGAGAAAAAAAAAAAUUUGACCGUCUUGUUCUAUCUUCCCUCCCGUUCUCUUCCCUCUUAUCUUAAUCUCUUUAAUAUCUCUCUCUUUAGGAGGUUCGAUCCCCUCGAAGUGAUCGUUUAUCCCUAUCGAUACGGUAGAACCGUAUCAUCAAGCUAAAUUUCGUAAAUAAUUUUUUGGAAGGACUAUUUUUAUAAUUAUAAAAUAUGUUAUAAGUAUAUUAAUAAAAGAAAAGUCAACCAGCCAUCAUAAUCAAAAUAAUCAAAUGCAUAUCAAACGGCACAAACGGCAUUCUAAUCAUUUAUUACAAUCCAAAAUUGAUCAGAGUCAAACACAUAUCAAAAUCGCACAUAAAAAAAAAAGCACAUCCUGACAUAUGUGUACAGAAUAUGGUAACAAACGAGAUGUAUACCUUUGCCAGGUAAAGACAAUCUUCAGGAGAAGCAAGGCCUUCGCGAAUAAAGGCGGUGCGAAGGCACAGGAGAAGGAGACUCAGACUUGCGCUGCAAGUUUUGAUUUUAAUUUAGAGUAAACUUCAAGUCCCAUCCAUGUAGUUUCGCACUUCCUCAUUUUAGUACUCUAUAAUUUAAAGUGUAUCAAUUUAGUGCCCUCUGGUUUUAUUUUUCUCUUUUCAUCAACUUCUUCGUUAAUAUUUCGUUAAAUUAUAUACAAAAAAACUUCAGAUACCCACCUAGGUUUAUCGAAUAUUUACUUUAAUACUCUUUAGUUUUAACUUUGUCAUUGAUUUAAAGAAAAAAAUUAGUAGAAUUGAUAAUAAAAGGAUAAAAAUAAAACCACAGGACGCUAAAUUGAUACACUUUAAAGUAUAAAAUAAUAAAAUGAGAAAAUGUGAAAUCACAGGGGUGAUAUUUGAAAAUUUUCUUUUAAUUUUUAGUUUUUUGUUUUAGCAGUGGGCGGUGGCGUCGGGUGCUUCCCAUACGUGCGCUGCUGGCCCGGUACUUGGCAAAAGCCAAAACCACCUGAGGAACGAAUCACAUCCCCAGUGACGUUUCUGCCCUACUUUUGGAACAAAAGGCCAAAAAAAAAAAAACUUUAAACUAACGUAAAAAAGAUUAUGAACUUUAGUUUUCUUUUUUGUUUUUUUCCCAAUUAGAAUCUUAUUAUUCUAUUUGAAUUGGAUUCUAAUUCGGUUUCAGAUUUUGAAUUCCGAAAUUUUUCGGAUUCAAAUUCAGAUUUACUAUUUUUUUUCCCUAACUCAUAUUCAGAUUCGGAUUCAGAUUCGAAUAUGCAAUUUUGAAAUAUCCCAACAAAACUCUCACAACUUUUUUUUAUUUUAGCUUUAAAUAGAAUUAGGCUGGUAUACUUCCGUGCUACCAAAUUGUUUUCAAUAAUGCAACCUCCAAAUCGACGAUCGGCUCCGUUAGACUUGAUUUAUACUAUUGAAAGUAUUUGAAAACUAAAUUUCAUAAUUUUUCGACAUCAUUUGUCUAGUGAUCAAAAGUUACCAAAAUUGACAAUUUUAAUAGUCGACGUGAUGUAUUUGUGAAUUUAACGGUGUAAAACAAUUCAAAUCUGAUAAAAUCUUUAUAAAAAAUUCUUUUCACUAUUUAGAGUAAGAUCAGUACCUCUGAUCUUAAAUCAAGUCUUUUAUCAUCAUUUUUUAUAAGUUUUUUUAUUUUCAGUCGUUUAUUUUAGACUACUCAUUGAUAGAUAAAUAAUGUCGACAAAUUAUGAAAUUUAGUUUUCAAAUACUUUUAAUAGUGUAGAUCAAGUCUAAUGGAGCCGAUCGUCGAUUUGGAAGCGGCAUCAUUGAAAAUAACUUGGUAGCACUGAGACCUCUGUGCUACCGAUAGUAUACCAGCCGGACUCCUUUAAAUAUUAAUUAAAUAAUAUAAGUGGUAUGGUAUCCAAUGUUGAUUUAGGGGCCGUUUGGUUCAGGAACAAAGCGGGAAUAAAUACUUGUUCCUUUUUUUGUUUCCAGAUGCUAUGUUUGGUACUCGAGAACAAGCAGUUUUCAAGUCUCUGGAAUAAGCAAGUAUAAUCCGGUAUAAGUUUUGAAUUGUUAUUCCAACUUUUUUCUAGAACAAGCUUGUUCCCAAGUAGAAACAAGAUUAAUUAAAGUUUAAAUUUAAUUUUAACUAUGAUAUUAAAUUAUUAAUUAAUCUAAUUAAUAUAUUAGAAUUAUUAUCCAUUGUUUAAAUAAUAAAGUAAUUAAUUAAUUAAUUUAUUAUGUAUAAUUAAUUAGCUAAUUAAUUAUUAAUAAUUUAAUGUGUUUAUCUAUAAAUUAAUUUUUAUAUUGAUCAACCAUUAAUAUUAUUAUUAUUCUAAUUAAUUUUUUAAUUAGUUAUCAGACUAAAAUAAUUUACUAACUAAUUAAAAAUCUAAAUUAUUUUUUAUAGUUAAUUAAUUAAUUGAUAUAUUUUUAUUAUCUUCUAUAAUAUUCAUAGGUAAUAAAUUUAUUAAUUUAUUAAAUUAUUUUAAUUAAUAUUUUGAUGUUAAUUAACAGGAUAAAACAUUUUUAAUUUAAAAUUAUAACUCUUGUUUUUUCUGUUUCAAUCUAAUCAUCCAAACACUAUUUACCUUAUUUUCAAAAACAAUCUAAUUUUUGUCUAAAUGCAAAAUUAGUCUAGUUUCUGUUUAUAUCUAAACUUAUAUCUAUUUGUGAAAUAAGUAGUUUUUACUCGUAUCUGAACCAAGAUUCUUUUUUAUUAGUUCGGUUUGGACUACUAUUGAUGUGACAAACUAUUUAUUUACCUUAUAGUCUCUCUUCUUCUUUUUUUCCUUAUUUCUUUAAUUUAUGUUUUUUUUUUAUUAUUUUGAAGUGGUGGUUUCAUCACAAACAAAUAUCUUCCUUCGUUUCUUUGUCAUUGUACCAUCAACUAAAACCUUUUCUUAAAAUAGAGAUCAAAGGUUGUGACUAUUUGCUUAGGAGGCCGUUUCUAGAAGAAGGAAUGCAAGCUUACAACAAAAUUCUAUUAUGUGCGGAAUGGCAAUCUUGGUGGGUCUGCUCCUACAGGCAACCAUUAUUUGCAGCCGUAAGGUGGAGUGAGGGUUUUGAUGCGGUAUGCUUUGAGGUUGAUCUGAACUUUCAUAGUACAAUCAGAGGUUAAAUUUUGUGUGAAAGUUGCAGAUUUGGGCUUCAGCUCCCUAUGGGAGAAGAGUAAAAUUACGCUGUUGUUUUCUGAAAUAUUGCAUAGCCCCCCGACCUCCACCACCUUGAUAUUUAACAGUUUGUUUUGAUUUUGAGUGACCAAGUAAAUUUGAUUUGCCUAAUGUCUAUCUUUUUUUUAUUUUUUUUCUUUCUUUCUUUCUUUCUUUCUUUUUUUAGCUACUUGCUUUUGCUUCUCCUCUACUUACCACUAUAAUUUUAUGGCCUUUGAAUCAUUUGAAGCAUUUUGGUUGUUUUCAUUUUAGUCUUUACUGUGUCGUGAUUAUCUAACAAACUCUUUAGGUUAGCUGCAAAAGAAGUGCCUUUUAUUGUUGAACUACAAUGGGGGUGCCGUAUGCUGCUCUUGUUGUUGCUAUUAUUAUUAUUAUUAUUGUUGUUGUUGUUGUUGUUGUUGUUGUUGUAGUUCUUCUUCUUCUUCUCUUAUGUUGUUGAACUAUAGAAGGGGUGCUUCUUCUUCUUCGUCGUCGUCCUGCUCCUCCUCCUCCUCCUCCUCCUCUCCUAUUCUUGUUGCUAUUAUUAUUAUUAUUGUUAGAAGGGGUGUAAAGUCUCAUCUUUCAUUUUUUGGCUGGAAAAAGUGGUAAAGUUGGAAGACUUUGCAUUCAAGUAUCUCCUGCACUGCAGGACUAUUUUGGCAGGGGCUACUCGGCAGGCAACCAUUUUGCAUUCAGAUUGACAUUACAGAUAUGAGGGACUAGUGCACAAUAUCCAAGAUUCGAGGGAAUCACAUGCCUCCCAAAAUGAGAUAGAGAGAGGGAGAAAAACUCUUAUUAUCGAUGAAUCGGCAUCUCUGAAACAUGGUCAAAUUAGAGAAAAGCUUUCUAAGAAGAGAGGCGAUGAUGGUUCGUAAUCCUCCUCUCAUGCUCUGCCACUCCCUGAUUUAGUAAUGGCGUGGCAACCCUGGAGGUAUAUUGUCUUAAGGUGACAAUUACAUGUUGUGGUUGUGAGACUGGUUUGUGGACAACAAAUGGCAACCAGGUUGGUAUUCAUUGCUAGGUGGGAGUGGUGAAGACCGAAGAUAGGAGGGAGGCUAAUGGAAUAGUUCCCCUGAGCCUCUGCUUCUAAAUCCUGUUUUAUUGUUCUAUGAAUUAUGAAGGCUUUUUGUGGACUUCUGUCCAUGCAUCUUGUGCAGGUAAUAAUUUCUCGAGCUUAUCUUUUUCUGAUAAGGUUGAGGAUUUUCCAUCUUGAGGACAAGGUGGCUAUCGAGGGCGGUGGAAUGACAUAUUCCUAGAUUAGGCUUUUUUAAUUAUGAAAUAAUAUAUUAUUUAUUUUAAAACAUUUCAGUUAUUUUCAAUAAAAUGUAACUAGGGUUAGGUUAUAUAGAUGUGUAUCUUCUAGGGUUUGGAGAAUAAGAAGAAUUUGACCAUCUUGUUCUAUCUUCCCUCCCGUUCUCUUCCCCCUUAUCUAUUUUUAUCUCUCUAAUAACUCUCUCUUUCUUUAGGAGGUUCGAUUCUCUCGAAGUGAUCGUUAAUCCUUAUCGAUACGGUAGAACUGUCUGUAUCAUCAGGCCAAAUUUCGUAAAUAAUUUUUUUGAAGGACUAUUUUUACAAUUAUAAUAUGUUAUAAGUCUAUUAAUAAAAGAAAAGUCAACCAACCAUCGUAAUCAAAAUAAUCAAAUGCAUAUCAAACGGCACAAACGGCAAUCUAAUCAUUUAUUACAAUCCAAACUUAAUUAAUCAGAGAGUCAAACACAUAUCAAAAUCGCACAUAAAGAAAAAAAAGCACAUCCUGACACGUGUACAGAAUACGGUAACGAACGAGAUGUAUACCUUCGCCAGGUGAAGACAAUCUUCAAUACGUCCAUGUCGAGAAGGACAAUGCGGCGGCGGCGGCGGCGGCGGAUGCCGGGCGAAGACGGGGGGAAGGAUCGGACUUCAGGAGGAGCAAGGGCUUCGCGAACAGAGUCAGUGCGAAGAGACAGGAGAAGGAGACUCCGCCGCCGCCGAUGCCGGGUGAAGACGGGGGGAGGAUCGGACAAGGGCUUCGGGAACAGAGGCGCCGAUGCCGGGCGAAGACGGGGAGAGGAUCGGACAAGGGCUUCGGGAACAGAGGCGGUGCGAAGGGACGGGGGAGAAGGAGACUCAGACUUGCUGUGCACGUUUUGAUUUUAGUUUUAGAAAAACUUCAAAUGCCAUCCUUGUGGUUUUAUAUUUUCUGACUUUAAUAUUCUAUAAUUUAAAUUUAAAGUGUAUUAAUUUAGUAUUUUACGAUUUUAUUUUUAUUUUUUUAUUAUAAAUUUUAUUAAUUUUUUUCGUUAAAUCAGUGACAAAGUUAAAACUAAACGGUAUUAAAAUGAAUGUUCGAUAAACCUAGGUGGGGUAUCUAAAAUUUUUUAUAUAUAUUUUAACGAAAUAUUAACGAAAAAGCUAACGAAAAAAUAAAAAUAAAACCGCAGGACACUAACUAGAUACACUUUAAUUAUAGGGUACUAAAAUAAGAAAGUGUGAAACCACAUGAGUGAUUUUUGAAUUUCACCCUUUAGUUUUCAGUUUUUAGUUUUUUUAUUUUAGCAGUGGACGGUGGUGUCGGAUGCUUUCCAUACGUGCGCCACAGGCCGAUACAGACUUGGCAAAAGCCAAAACCACCUGAGGAACAAAUCACAAUCCCAGUGACGCUUCUGCCCUACUUUUGGAACAAAAUGCCAAAAAAACAGCAAAAAACUUUAAACUAAUGUAAAAAGGGUUAAUUACACCGAUGGUCUCAAAUCUUUGCACUAUUUUUCACUUGGGUCCCCAACUUUUUUUUUUGCAAUUGAGUCCCUAAUCUCUUGAUUUUAUUACAAUCACGUCCCGCCGUAAAAAAUACUGUUAAAAUUAAUGGAAUAGAAUAGGCAUCCUUUUGCAUGUUAAUUUUGGUCCAUAAACUUUGCACGUUUUUCACUUUAGUCCCUAAAAAAAAUUUAAAAUUUUAAUUUGAAAUUCAAAAAUAAUAUUAAAAUUAAAAUUUUAAACUAACGAGAAAUUAGAAAUUUGAAUUUGAAUUUAAAGCUAAAUUAAAAUCUUGAAUUGAAAUUUAAAUUUUAAAUUUGAAUUUUAAAUUGAAUCUAAAAUUUGAAUUCAAACUUAAAGUUUUGAUUUUGAUAUUUCAAUUUACAUUUAAAAUGAAAGUUUUGAAAUUGAAAUUUAAAUUUAAAAUCGUAUUCAAAAUUUUGAUUUUAAAUUUAAAUUUGAAUUCAAAAUUUAAAUUUAAAAUUAAGAUUUGAUUUCAAUUCUAAAUUUGAAUUUAAACAUCGAAUUCAAAUUCACAUUUUGAUUUGAAAUUUCAAAUCAAAGUUUGAAAUUAAAUUAGAAUUUAAAAUUCGAAAUGUGAAUUCGAGUUUAAAAUUAAAAUUUUAAAAUUAAAUGUAAAAUCAGAAUUUGAAUUCAAAUUUAAAUUUGAAUCCAAAAUCAAAAUUUAAAUCUUAAAUUAAAAAUCUUGCUUUAAAUUUAUAAAUGUAAUGGGUUAAUUACACCAUUGGUCCUCAACCUUUACACAAUUUUUCAAUUUAGUCCUCAACCUUUUUUUUUUUUUGCAAUCCGCUGACACCCGCCUCUGUGGCGCUGACACGGCGCCUCCGUGGCGCUGACAUGGUGCUGACGUGGUAUUUUCCGUCAAUUUUAAUACCUUUUUGACGGCUGGGACUUAAUUGUAAUGAAAUCAAUAUAUUAGAGACUUGAUUGCAAAAAAAAAAAGAUUGGGGACCAAAUUGAAAAAUAGUGCGAAGGUUUGGGACCAAUGGUGUAAAUAACCCAAUGUAAAAAAGAUUAUAAACUUUAGUUUUCUUUUUUGUUUUUUUUUUUUCUAAUUAGGAUCUUAUUAUUCUAUUUGAAUUUGGAUUCUAAUUCGGUUUCGGAUUUUGAGUUCCGAAAUUUUUUGGAUUCAAAUUCAGAUUUACUAUUUUUUGCCCCAACUCAUAUUCAGAUUCGGAUUCGGAUUCGAAUAUGCAAUUUUAAAAUAUCCCAACAAAACUCUCACAACUUUUUUUUAUUUUAGCUUUAAAUAGAAUUGGAUUCGGAUUCGAAUUCGGAUUCGAAUAUGCAAUUUUGAAAUAUCCCAACAAAACUCUGACAACUUUUUUUAUUUUAGCUUUAAAUAGAAUUAGGCUGGUAUACUAUCGGUAGUACGGAGGCCUCCGUACUACAAAAUUGUUUUCAAUGAUGCGGCUUCCAAAUCGACGAUCGGCUCCGUUAGAUUUCAUAUACGCUAUUGAAAGUAUUUGAAAACUAAAUUUCAUAAUUUUUCGACAUCAUUUGCCUAGUGAUCAAAAGGUAUCAAAAUUGACAAUUUCAUAAUUUUUCGACAUCAUUGGCCCCAAUUUCCCUUUCAAUUGCCAAAAAUCAACAAAGAUUAACACUGUAAGUCAUAAAAUUGUGAGAUUACCUCAAACUUUGCAUUCGGUUCCGAACGCCACUCUAUUAGCGGCAAAGCAUCAAUGGUAAAGCAGCAACCAGGAGAAGAACAAAAAUAUAAAUGACACCUUGAGAUUCUAGAAUUCGCAAACCAUGUACCUUGAAAUUAAACUAAACCAAAAGCAACUCCAUCUACGAGAAAUAAACCUUCACGUACGGAUCGGAAUAGCAAUUCCAACUGUUUGUUUAGCAUGACCAUUUUCUCUAUCGCAAGAAGCAAACAACAGCAUUUGAAACAGGAAAAGCCCUCGGCUCUUUCUAUGGCAGCAAACUGAAAUAAAAUUUCAUUGGCUUGUCUGUCUCCAAAGAACUAAGUAGGAUUUAUUUCUCACAAAUAUAAAGGCCAACAAGCAAACUCAACAUAUUGUUAUAUUUCAACUGCCUUUCGGACAAAUACCAAUCAGAAAUUAGCAGAAGCCAAUACCGCUUAGAAUAUAAGGGCAACAUAUUUGCCUAAGCUAUGUGUUUUACACUGCAAAGUUUUGUAUCUCACACCGAACCCUACAAGUAGAUAAAUUUGACUCUUCACGAGAGCACCGACAAACUCCCAUAUUCAGGAAAAGUAGCAUCUUUUAUUUGUUGAGGCAAAGAUAAGAAGAUAAAAUGACACAAUAUAACUUGUUAAAGCCUCCAAAUUACUAACACUAAUAACUAAGAACUUAAAAUAAAGAAAAACCAGCAAUCGAAAAAAAAAAAAAAUUUACCACCAUUAUUCACGACCAAACAGCACCUGAAUGGGGAAGGCCUGGUGUAGAGCAUGACAUUCCGCCUGCAAAGCAAAUAAGGAAACAUCUAGUUGUGUUAUUGCAAAGAGACAGAAAAUUUAAACAAACAAGUAUUGCUAAUUAUAUUUCAUUGAUUAGCAUAAUCAUAUAAAGAUAACAUGGAGAAUGUUAUCCAACACUUUAUCACGAAUACUAUCAAGAAGCAUCAGAAACUAUUAUGCAACAAUUGAUAUGUAGGAAAUAAUUAGCAUCUCUUCCUGAAUCUUGUGAGAAUCAGUAAAAGAUAUAGUCCUCCUAACAAUUCAAAAGCCUCAUCCAAAUUCCUAAUUUUACAAGUCCAAGAAAUUACCAAUUUGGACAAAUAUAUAGCUAGCUAAUUGUGGUAGCUGAAAUUUUUUUCAUGAAAAAAAAUUAACACAAUGAGGAAAAUAUAGAAACUUAACAUAAAACAAAGUUGAACAUUGAUGUAACUAAGCAUUGGAAGUAGAAAUACAAGACGAACAGAAUAAAUAAUUUUAGCAUAGGAAACCUCAUUCUCCCUUUCCACAACAUAUCGCAUGUCACAUCGUUACAAAUAUCGAAUUAAAUAACAAAUGCUCUGAUUAAUUUAAAUACUAUAUACACAAACUAUAACCUAACUAUACAAACAAAUAAAUAAAAAUGUACCUCUACUAACUCGCAGUGGGCUUGAGUCUACAAAGAGCAACUUUAAUGUUACGUUGCACCCCAUAAAGCACCUUCGCCUGGAAGAUUUUCGGCUCAGCUUCACCGUCAACUGCUUGGAAGGUAACAUAGUACCAAAGUCCUGUUGCGACACUACACGUUGCCUUCUCUAUUUUUACAAACACGUAACUCAUAUCCUACAUUAUAAAAAACAUCAUAAAAUCAAUUUUAUCAAACAAAAAUAAAGACACAAAGAAAAAAACAAUAGGAAAAGACAUACACAAGGGAACAUGAACAUACAUUUUUCUUAUUAAAAUGUUCGAUUGCCAAUUUAGUACAUCUGAUAAGAAUUUCAUCAUCAAAAUCCGUGAUCGCCGUAAGGCCAAACUCACACGUGCCUGGAAAUGGAUCAACAUCGAAUCCCUGUAAAAGACAUGUAUUAACAAUUAGUGAAAAAAAAAAAGGUUGUGAAGCUUUAACUCUCAAAAAGAAGAUAAUAAUUAUUAAACACCUCGCUUUCCUUGAUUUGUUUGUAAUAUCUAGCCCAUUCUUCGUGAGUCCUACUGCGAUUACCAUUCGGCCAAACGUAAACCUUAUCUUCCUCUGAAGUUGCUCAUAAACCCUUUGAUCCUUCUCGUUCCCUUUCUCUUCCUCUAUUUCACUUUGGAUUUCUUCCUCCUUGCCCUCGUCCCUCAUCUCUUCGCUUUCUUCGUGCAGUUUCAACUUCUCCUACAUCGACUCUUCAGGUAUCAGCUUCUUAGCAUUCUGCUAUAUCACAAAAUGAAAUACAUCUAUACAUAAAAAAUUUAAAUAAAUUUCAAUCAAAACUGACGACAAAUUAAAAAAAAAAUUCUUAAAUUGGCUCAAAUAAAAGAAGAAUUUAGCCGAUGCAUACGAAAUAGAGUCCAAACAGGGCAGAAUUCAGGUGAUACAUUCCUAGAUUAGGAUUUUCUAAUUACGAAAUAAUAUAUUAUUAUUUUAAAAUAUUUCAGUUGUUUCCAAUAAAGUGUAAUUAGGGUUAGGUUAUAUAAAUGUGUAUUUUUUAGGAUUUGGAGAAUAAGAAGAAAUUGGCCGUGUUGUUCUAUCUUCCAUCUUGUUCUCUUCCCCCUUAUCUAUCUUUAUCUCUCUAAUAUCUCUCUCUUUAGGAGGUUCGAUUCCCUCGAAGUGAUCAUUUACCCCUAUCGAUACGGUAGAAUCUUGUUCUAUCUCCCCUCCCGUUCUCUUCCCUCUUAUCAAUCUUUAUCUCUCUAAUAUCUUUCUCUAGGAGGUUCGAUUAUCUCAAAGUAAUCGUUUAUCCCUACCGAUACGGUAGAACCGUAUCAUCAGGCCAAAUUUCGUAAACAAUUUUUUUGAAGGAAUAUUUUUAUAGUUAUAAUCUAUUACUCUUUAUGAAUCCCCAAUGUUUUAAGCUGAUGUGUCAUAACCUCCUAAUUUUGAAUUUUUUUUAAUUUAGAAUGAUCAAUUUUAUUCUCUCUCUCAACAUACGUCUCUUCAUCUCCCCCAUUUAAUUUUUAUUUAGAAUGAGUCAUUUUACUCUCUCUCUCAACAUACGUCUCGUCAUCUCCCCUAUUCAAUUUUUAUUUAGAAUUAGCCAUUUUACUCUCUCUCUCUCAACAUUCGUCUCCUCAUCUCCCUCAUUUUAUUCUCUCUUUCUUAACAUACGUCUCUUCAUCUCUUCCAUUUAAUUUUUAUUUAGAAUAAGCUAUUUUACUCUCUCUCUCCAUCGUUGGUAGAUGUACCAAGUGAGAUAUACAAAAAAAUAUUUAAUAUUUUAUUAUUAUUAAUUACUACUAUAGUUUCUAUCCGCUGCAAAGCGCGGGACUCUUCACUAGUAUGAUAUAAGUCUACUAAUAAAAGAAACGUCACAAACAAACGGCAUUCUAAUCAUUUAUUACAAUCCGAACUUAAUUAAUCAGAGAACCAAACACAUAUCAAAUCGCACAUUCAAACAAAAACAAAAAAAAAGAAAGCACAUUCUAACACAUGUGUACGGAAUAUGGUAACGAACGAGAUGUAUACCUUUGCCAGGUGAAGACAAUUGUAAUGUCUUGAAGAAUAAGUAGUUUAAUAGUUAGUAGGGGAAGGAAGUAAAAAUGUCAACUUUACAAUAGUAAGACCAGAAAUAAGGACGGAAGUAGUAGGCGGAUCGGGCGGUCGAAUUACCGGAUCGGGCGUAAAACGCAGACCCAAGCCCCGCCGGGUUGCGGGUGAUGCGGAGAAGGCAGGAACCGACGCCCACUUACCGUUAUGCAUGGGUCAGGCGAACCGGAGCUCGGAUCGAGGCGAAAUGGCAAACCCAAGACCUGCAGGGUUGCGGGUAGUGAGGAGAAGUGCGGACCCGAGUCCGUUUGCCUGACAAUCAGCAGAAGAGAUCGGGAAAGCCCGGGAAAGGGCCCAACUACCAUGAGAUUUCAGCCCAUACGAGUUUUUCCUCAAUUUAUCACUUUUGCUGUUUAGCCCUCAUAGACUAGGUGCGUUUUUAGUUUAGUCCAAAUUACCAAGUACUAUAAAUACCAAAGUAUAAUGUAAACAGGGUAUCAAUAAAAUGAAAUAUUGAAUCUGCUUCUUCCCCAAACUCUCUUCUUCUCUAAACUCUCUUUUCCCAACUCUUAUCUUUUCUCUACCUCUCAUCCACACCAUGUCUAAACUCUAAACACAAUGAAUAAUUCGCCGUGUUUAAAAAAAUACAAUUAUAUGUAUUACGAAAAAAAUAUAAGUAUUAAAAAAAGGGAAUACAAAAAAUAUAAGCACGGAACAUGGUGAAUGGACCAUUCACCGUAAUUGAACACGAUGAAUGAUUUACCGUGUCUAAGAAAAAUAUAUCAUUUACCGUGUUUGAAUGCGGUGAAUGAUUCACGGUGUUCAACUUAUCACCCCUCCAGCUUUUACAAAAAUAAUUUAUAAAAUUUAAAUUUUAUAAAAAUAUAUUUGUUUGUUAUAAUCGGAACGACGAAAAGUAGAUCCAGAAAAUAAUUUAAUGCAGGAAAAGAAAAGAUAAGGAAAGAGUACACCGAUAUUUACGUGGUUCGGCCAACAGCCUACGUCCACGGGCGAAGACGGAGCAAAUACUUUGUUAAUGUCGAAAAGGCGGAAUACAAAGAAGAUUUCUCGAAAAAUAACCAAAGCUUAAUUAGAUCGAAACGCCGCAACAAGCAACUCCAAAAUUGGCUUCUCUCUCACCCGUACGACGUAUGGCUAAAUUAAAGUAGCCGCGGAUUCUUGACCGUACGAAACGUGCAUAGCUUGGCUUAAUUAGAGUGUGGCUUCUAAUCAGCCGCAGCUCCUGACCGUACGGACCGCAAGACCAACAUGGAUUGCUUAAUUAGAGCCCCGGCAGCUCAGAAUAAUUAGCACAUGGCAUCUAAUUUUGGUCGCGGCAUUAUUAACUUAGCCGUAGCGUAUCUAUUACUCUAUGUGAAUUCCCAAUAAUUUUGCCACGUGGCAAGUUUUUCUCCACUCUCACUAAUCUUUUUUUUGAAUUGAUUUUUACUCUUGGCUUUUCCACUCCCAUCUUCUUUAUUCAAUGACAUGUAAUUAAUGUGCUUUUUAAUUUAUACGUUUCCUAUUCAAAAUUACUUUUUUUGAAUUGAUUCUUACUCUUGGCUUUUCUCCUCCCCUCCUCUCUAUUCAAUGACAUAUAAUCAAUGUGCUUUUUAAUUUAUACGUUUUCUCUUCACAAUUAGUCCUUUCUUCUCCCACAAAUAAUUCCUAACAUGCAAAAUUAGAAAAGGAGAAGAUGAAUAGUUACUACUUUCAGAUCUAGAGAUUGGGGAAUAGUAAGGGAGUUUUCCAAGCUCUAAUCCGUGCCAAUCCGACUCGACCCGAACCCCCCCCCUCCGAAUCAAAAGAGUGUUUAUAGGGUUUCUAUUAAUGCCGAUCUCUUCGGAUUUAUGGAAAAAUAAGGUAAUCGAACGGUUUUUCAAUAGAGAAAGCUAAUUGGAGAGCAAUAAUGGACGGUUCGAGGGGUAGGUUUGGAAAACGAAAAUCCUAAACCUAAUUUUUCUUUUCUUUAUUUUAAUCUCGAAUUCUUACUAUGUAUUCAUUUAGAAUUUAAUUUAUUUGCAUUAUUUUUUAUAUGGUGAUUGUAUCAAUUAAGGACUUGAUUUAUAUGCAUUAUUUUGAUUAAUUUAGAGGUUAUUUUUUAUUUCAUAAUUGAUGUGGCAGGUUUGGCCCACAACUUUUGAUCAUUCCAUGCUCAAAAGGGUGCAAAAUUUUGCAAAUUUUUAUCAGAUUUUCAUCGCCAUCGUCGUCAUCAUCGCAACAUUAUUAUCUCCAUCUUCAUACGACCUUUGUAGGUUUUUUUUUUUUGAAUGUUGAUUCUGGGCAGUUAUCAAUUUUCAAUGGCUAUAUUGGUUAGUUCAAUUCAUACGUUUCCCUACCCAAAAAAUAAAACACUCUUAAAUUUUUAUUUUCCAAACUUCUUUCUUCUUACUCUUCAAUAUUUUUUAAUUUUUUUUCUAUUAUUUAUCCGCGGCAUCGCGCGGGUUAGUACACUAGUAUAUAUAUAUAAUACAUGUUUUCUAAUUAAAGUCUAAUUCUAAUUAGAUUAGAAUUACACUCCUAAUUAUAAUCUAUAAAAUAUAUAUGCUAAAUUAAAUCUAAAUUAUAUCCAAUCCCAAAUAAAUUAGGAUUUAACUCUAAUUUAGAUAACUACAAAUCUAAACCAAAUAUAAAAAUAAUUUACUAUAUUUUGGCAACCUGUAUGUAAUUAACCUAAAAAUUUUCGUCUUAUGAGUGGAGGAGGACAUCAGUAAUUAAAGGGCUUUCUUUGCAAAUAGCCCCCUGAAAAAUUUUAUUUGCGCAAAUAGCCCCGUCUAAAAAUUAUUUGCAAAAAUGGCCCUGGCCCUGCCACGCCAGCGCCACGUCAGCGCCACGCGAGCAGGGCCUGGGCCAGGUGGCUAAGUUGAACACGGCAAUUGGUUCACCGUGUUUAGACACGGUGAACCAAUCACCGUGCUCAUUGUAUUACUCCCGCCCACGACGGGGUGUUAGUAUUACAUUAGACACGGUGAUUCGUUCACCGUGUCUAAACACGGUGAACCAUUCACCGCGUCUAAACACGGUGAACUAUUCACCGCGUUUAGACACGGUGAACCAAUCACCGUGUCUAAUGUACUACACACCAUUUCGCGGGUGCCAAAUAAGGCAUAGAACACGGUGAUUGGCUCACCGUUGUAUUAGACACGGUGAACCAAUCACCGUGUCCAAUGUAUCACUCCAGCCCAAGGCGGAGGGUUGGUACCACACUUAAACACGGUCGAUACGUUCACCGGGUCUAAACAUGGUGAACUGUUCACCGCAUUUAGACACGGUAAACGGUUCACCGCGUAUAGGACACGGUGAACGGAUCGCCGUGUCCAAUGCAUGGGCCGGGUGCGGCUGCGAGAAAAUCUAACACGGCCUGGCCCAGUUCGUUAACCAAGCGCCUAUGGCCCAAUAAAGAAAGUCGGGCCAGAUCUAAAAGUGCGGCUGCGAGAAAAUCUAACACGGCCUGGCCCAGGAACCGAAUCAAUGCACGGGCCGGGUGCNCCUGGGCCAGGCCGUGUUAGAUUUUCUCGCAGCCGCACUUUUAGAUCUGGCCCGACUUUCUUUAUUGGGCCAUAGGCGCUUGGUUAACGAACUGGGCCAGGCCGUGUUAGAUUUUCUCGCAGCCGCACCCGGCCCAUGCAUUGGACACGGCGAUCCAUUCACCGUGUCCUAUACAACCCUAUACCCCGAAAAUGGCUAAGUCUGGUAAACCCUAAACCUUCGAAAAUGGUUAAGUCUGGUAAACCCUAAACCUUGAACUAACUGAAUUGGACACGGUGAACCAUUCACCGUGUCCAAUACAACUAGCCACACCUAAGCCGUAUUUGGCCAAAUAUGGAAGUAAAGGACACGGUGAUUAGUUCACCGCGGUGAAUAGUUCACCGUGUUUAGACACGGUGAAUGAAUCACCGUGUUUAGACACGGUGAACGAAUCACCGUGUCUAAUGUAAUACUAACACCCCGUCGUGGGCGGGAGUAAUACAAUGAGCACGGUGAUUGGUUCACCGUGUCUAAACACGGUGAACCAAUUGCCGUGUUCAACUUAGCCACCUGGCCCAGGCCCUGCUCGCGUGGUGCUGAUUUGGCGCUGGCGUGGCAGGGCCAGGACUAUUUUUGCAAAUAAUUUUUAGAUAGGGCUAUUUGCGCAAAUAAAAUUUUUCGGGUGGCUAUUUAAUUGAAAUUUUCGUCUAAUAAGUGAGGGAGGAGGCCAUCAGUAAUUGGUGUAUUCUAGACUCUUUCGUGUCUUCGGGAGGUACAAGGCGUGCUCCUUUUCUUGCUAUGACGAACUCCCACAUCACCAAAGAGAGGGGAAAAAAAAAAAAAAAAGGAGGGAGAAAACACAUUUCUCUCUCCUUUGAUCCUUUCCCGGAAACCAAACAUCGCAUUACAGAAUCUGGCAAUGGCGGGGCAGCGCGCUGGAUGNGGCCAUCAUUUAUAAUGAUGAUGAUUAUCAUCAUAAUCUUUAAAGGCGCUUCGACUUCAUGUGAGGAUGCCUCCGUUGUCGACGGCAUUGGAUCAGCAUCUUCUUGCUCCCUUUCAUAUUUUUUGAUCCUGGCUGAAGUAACUAUCAUCAUUUUUUCUUUUUCUUUUUAUUCUACUUCUCCAUUUCUCUUCUUGAUGCCUCCUCUUCCUCCUCCUUGUUGUUGUUACUGUUACUGUGUUCGUGUUGGUGUUGGUGUUGGUGGUGGUGGUGGUGGGGGUGGGUGGAGCCUACCGUCUCCCCGCCCUAUCCUGAAAGGUUUCAGGAAAACCCACAAAACUUCGCCUUUCGGGGUAAAGAUGUAUAAAACUUUCCGCAACUAUCAUCCUUUUCGAUCUGACUACCUAACAGUUAAAAGUUUGGAUUUUACUACCCGUUCUUUCAAUUUAUUUGAUUUAAGCCGAUUAGUAAGCAACUAUGAAUUCAUUAAAGUAAGCAAUUAGUUUAAAUUUUGAAGUCCGAUUAUCGUUGACCGACUCAAAUCGAACAAAUUGGAAAGUUCGGUGGUAAAAUCAAAAUUCUGGGAGGUCGGGUGGUCGACUCAAAAUGAGGCAUUUAGGUUCUCGCAGUUGGUGCUUGGCAUGGUCAUGGUAAUCUUGGAAGGCUCUGCUCUUCUACAGGCAACCACUUUUCCAUGCGAUGUCUUGUGGUGUACUGCAGUACUGUGUUUCGUACCAAUUUUUCCGUGCAGGUGUUUUGGAGCGGAAAUUGGAAUCAUGGUAGAUCCGACUGGAACCGUUGGGUUUGCUUAGACUUGCUGAAAUCACUUCAAACCGGUGGAAAUCAAUUCAAACCACACCUGCUAAUGUUUCCAAGGAUUUACAUGUUCUUGGUUGCAAUUUCAUCCAAAUCAGUGAUUUGGAGGAUCCGAAACUGGGUGCAAAGGAGGCUGUGAUGGUUGCCAACCUGGGUGCUAAUGCUUUGUCCAAGCCAUUUCUUCUUUACCCAGUGUAUACAGCGAAAACAGCUCUUUUAAUAUCAUUUCUUCUUCGGCAAAUUGGAUGGUCUGCUAAUUUAGCAGGCAACCUUAUGCUAGCAUCCAUUGUUAUGGUGCAUGGAUUUUAUGAUGCUUUCUGAGUAAGGCCGGGGAAAUGGUUGUGAACAAACAAAUUGAGGCUUUCGGUGGGUCUCUUGCUGUGUCAUCAACCAUAAUAUUGAUUAGCGACAUAUUGCCGUUCACUCAACUUAAUUGGCUUGUGAGACUUGAUAGCAACAAUCAAGAAAGUUCGAGUCGAAAUUGCAACAAUUAUAUUUUGAGGACUAAAGUGUUACCUGCCUCAUUGUUUGAGGACCAAAAGUGUAAUUUAGCCUUAUUUUAUCUAACAAACCACUGAGCAGGUAAGAAUUUUCUUGCUAAAUUGCAUGUUUGGUCCUCAAACAAUGUGUAACACUUUGGUUCUCAAACUUUAAUCUGUUACAAUCUAGCCUGAACUUUUUGAAUUGUCGCAAUCAAGUCCUGCAAUCCAAUUUAGAUGACUAAAUAUUGAUGCAUCAUUGAUGUAAUAGUGAUGUGACAUUUUAUUUUUUGUCUCAUCAUCAAUUACCAUAUUGCUACCGUCACUUUCACAUUACCGACAUAUCAAUAUUUAGUCAACUAAAUUAGAUUGUAGGACUUGAUUGCAACAAUUUGAAUCAGAAAUUACAAUAAAUUAAUGUUUGGUCCUUGUCAUGUGUCUCAAAGUUUGAGGACAAAAUGUGCAAUUUACCCUAAUUUUCCUCAUCUCAGUGGCAGCUCUCAAUUGGAAGGUCUGCUGUUUUGCAGGCAACCUUGUUCUGUCAUUUGUCUUCAAGGUGCAUAAGACUCUCAUGAUGCCUCUUGAUAUGAUCAAAUGGCAUGUUGAACCCUCUCUUUCCUUCUACUUGAAACAUUCGUUCUACUUUCUUUUCAGCUUUUAAUAUUUCUCAUGUCGACCGUCCGUGUGUCCUCAUGUUGACUGUAUGCUUCAAUCAGACAGGCACUUAAUGUUUUAUCCCAUGUUAAGUAUUUUUUUCCCUUCAUUUUACUUGUCAAAGGAGGCUGUGAUGAUUGUCGGUUGGGAAUGCACCUCAGCUUAUUUUAUCCCGGCUUUUGCUUCUCGGCGGAGUACAGAAGCUGAUAAGGAUACUGGAUAUAAGAGGCAAUAUAGUCAACUCAAACCUAAGAUUUUGGUUGGGUUUUGACAAGUCGGGUGGGAUUUGAAUCUGGUUUGUUAGUUUGCUUUGUCCUUUUACAACCCUUGGGAGCCUUUCACUUUGUUCAUUUGUGGGAUAGACAACAUCUCAGUGGGUGGUUUUUGGCUGACAUGAUGCACCAGGUGCAGGCAAUAAUUUUUCCUUUCUGGGCAGCUCGUGAGGCCAACAUUAAGUACCCGUAGCAGUAUUUAAUUGGAAGGCCUUGCAGGCAAGCCUAUGCUGUCACGUCUUUAAGGUGCAUGAGAUUACAAGAUCCCUCAUGUGGUGAUUAAGCGGCAUGUCUGAGUCUCCAUUUUAUUUUCCUACUUCCUUUUUAGCUAUUGAGAUUUGGUUGUUCACGUUUGUUUUCCCCCUCGCUUUCUUACUGCAUAUAGAAGCUAGGAUGGGUUGUUUUAAAUAUUCCUUAUCAAACCGUUGAAACAUGACUUCAUGCUGGUUGAUGGUAAAUUUUCUAUCCUAUAUGUAUUCAGAUCAGAGGGAAUUUGUUAAUCUUUCGGAUUUUGAUAAGAACUAAAUAUAAGAAAGAUUUGGAUGCUAGGUAUAUAAAUAUUUGGGUUAAUUUCUUCAAUCCCUUCCUUAAAGAUUGUAAUUUCAUAAAGACUCCUUCAAAUUGUAAAGGGUUUAGGGUUGCAUGCAUACAUCUCUCUCUUUUGCAUCUGAUCGACAUCAAGUUUCUAUAUUUAUAUUGGGUUUCUUUGCAUUUUAAAGUUAUACAAAAUUGUUGCAGGGCAUGCAAUCAAAACGGUUGCUCAAUCAAUAGCUUCACUUGAGCCCUAUUAUGUUAUUUGAUAAAGUUUUGGGAUUUAUUUGUUAAAAAGUAGAAGUUUUAGCACCUGUUUGCAAAAGUGUUAGAGUUUAGGGAGGCUUUGUACAUUGUUUCAAUUAUUAAUGUUUACUAAAAAAUGUAUGUUGGGCGCAAACAUUGCAUCCUUUUGGGCUAUUUAGAGAGGCAAAAUACUGUGAGCCCUCAAUUACGGAUGUAUGGGUAUGCCUUCGAGGCGAUACGAGCUAGAGAGCCUAUGUUGGGGGAAAAACAAAGUACUGGGCGUGCUCCCUUCUUGCUGCAAGCUCCUCUGUCUCUUCACUCCCACACUGAGAAACCAAACACCCCCUUAGAGAAUCUGGUAUUGGCGGGGCAGCAUUGGAUGGUUUGCUGUUUGUAGGCUACUGAGCUGCAGCCAUUAUUCCAGAAUUGGUGCGGCAACGGCAGCGGUGGCGAUCAUUUUGUGGCCAUCAUUUAUAAUGAUGAUGAUUAUCAUCAUAAUCUUUAAAGGCGCUUCGACUUCAUGUGAGGAUGCCUCCGUUGUCGACGGCAUUGGAUCAUCAUCUUUUUGACACCUCUCAUAUAUUUUGAUCCUGGCUGAAGUAACUAUCAUCAUUUUUCUUGUACUUAGCCAUUCUUUGCUUGAUGCCAUUUUGUUGUUAUUGUUAUUAUUAUUAUUAUUGUUAUUGUUAUUGUCGUAGUGGUGGUGGUCGUGCAGGUGGGUGGAGUCUGCUCUCUCUCUGCCCCCUGUGAAAAGGGAAACCCACAGAACUUCGUUCUGUGGGGUUGACCAAGCCUUCUCUCUCUCUCUCUCUCUCUCUCUCUCUCUCUCUCUCUCUCUAUAUAUAUAUAUAUAUAUAUAUAUAUAUAUAUAUAUAUUGAGUUCGGCUAUGGUGCUUUUAAAAGCACCAAGCACUUGGUCCUUGUAAGUUUUUGUAAGUUUCCCAUUGUUAGAUUUAUCUCUUUGACCAAUUCCACCCCUAAGAUUAUACUAUUCGACCAACUACCCGCUCAAAUCUUGGGGACAACUAUUAUCCUAACCCUACAAAUCUUCAUCCUAGGCCGAAAACCUACAAGCACCAAUGACUUGGCACUUUUAAAAGCAUAGGAGCUCAAUUCUAUCUAUCUAUCUAUCUAUCUAUCUAUCUAUCUAUAGACAUAUAUGUAUAUAUAUACAGUUUGUGUGUGGGGAAUAUAAGGGGAAAAAAAACAACAAUCAUGCCACAUGAGGCAUUAAGUUUUCAGCGGUUGGUGCAUGGCAUGGUAAUAUUGGAAGGCUUUGCUUCUCUGCAGGCAACUAUUUUUUCAUGUGAUGUCUUGCUUAGACUUGCUGAAAUUAUUGAGAACAAGCUUAUUAAAGCUUUCGAUGAGUCUCUUUCCACGUCAACAACCACAACACUGUCACAUUACUGUUGCAUUAGUGGGACAUUACCGAAAGUAAGUUGGCCUAUGAAACUUGAUUGCAACAAUCAAAAAAGUUUGAGCUAGAAAUUGCAGCUAUUAUGGUUUGAGGACCAAAAGUGUAAUUUAGCCUUAUUUUAUAUAACAAACGACUGGGCAAGCAAUAAUUUUCCAAUCUCGGCACCUAUAACUGCACUCAAUUGGAAGGCCUGCUAUUUUGCAGGCAACCUUGUUAUGUCGGUUGUCUUCAAGGUGCAUAAGACUAUAUGAUGCCUCUUGAUAUGAUCGAAUGGCCAGUCGGAGCCUCUCUAUCCUUCUACUUCCUUUUCAUCUAGUAAUAUUUCUCAUGCUGACUGUCGAUGUUCUCAUGCUGACUGUAUGCUUCAAUUAGACAGGCCCUUAAUGCUUCAUGCAAAUGUUAAGGAAGCGUCUCUCCUUUAUGUUACGUUUCGAAGGAUGUUGUGAUGAUUGGCGGUUGCGAAGGCACCUCAACUUGUUUUUUUCUUGGCUUUUGAUUCUUAGAGCGUGUUUGGUUCACUUCUUUUUCACUCUGGAAUCGAAAUCGGAAUGGGUGAAUCUGUUUGUGGGUGUUUGGUAUGCGGGAGUUCCAUUCCCAUUCCUAUUCCCGAGUGGGAUGGGAAUCCCCUAAUCAUCUCUUUUUCCAAUCCGGUCUAGUAGGCCGGAUUGACAGUUGAAUCCAGACGGAAUGGAUAUUUAUUCGGAUUAAAUUAAUUUUUUCAACUUUUUUAAAUUAAAAUAUGAGUUUAAAUUUAGAAAUUAAAUUUAUAAUUUUAAAUUUUAAUUUGAAUUUGAAUUAAAAAUUAAAAUUUAAUCAAUUAUUUUGAAUCUAACUUAUAAAUUUGAAUUUAAAUUAAAUUUUAAUUUAUAUAAAGUUUUAUUCAAAUUUUAUUUAAAACUUAAAUUAAAUUUAUGGAUUCAAAUUAAAAUUAAAAUUGUAAUUUUAAGUUUGAAUUUGAAUAAAUCGAAAUUUAGUUUUAUAUUUUGAAUUAUCCACUCAACUUCAAAGUUUAAUUUUUUAAAAAAAAAUAGAUUUAAAAUUUUGACAUUAUUUCAAAAUUUUGAUGUAAAUUUUUAAUAUUUAAUUUUCAGUUUGAAUUUAAAUUAAUAUAUUAUAAAGAUAAAGUUAGUAUAUUAAUUUGAUUACGUUUUUUAUAUCUAUCUGAACAAAACACCGACAAUGGGAAUGAUUUAUUCCGAUUCCGAUUCAGGUAAUGAAUCAAACAGAAUUAGGUAAUGAGUCAUUCCAAUUCUGAUUUCAGCUUAUUUCGAUUCCGAUUCUGAUUCCGAUUCCAACUUCGAACCAAACGCGCCCUUAAUGGAGUGCAGAAGCUGAUCGAAAUACUGGAUAUAAGAGGUAGUAUGGUCAACCCUAAAAACUGCACUUUUGCAUUAAAAAAAAUCCCUUUCAUGAAUAACUGUAGAAACGGAUGGUCUGCACUUUUGCAGGCAACCUAGCAGUUACAUGCUGUUUUUUGUGGUUUGUACUUUUAAGCUGUUUCUUUGCGACAUCAUUUGCCUAGUGAUCAAGCAAUGCCAAAUACAUCGUAUAUUAGACAUUAAAAUUGUUGAUUUCUGGACAACUUGACUACUUAGCAAAUGAUAUCAAAGAAUGAUGAAGUUUGAAACCUAGAAAGUUGAAAUAUCCUAGAUCAUGUUUGACGGUGCUGAUGGUCUAUCCAGAUGCCCCAUUAUCGGAAAUGACACGGAAGUGAGCUGUACUUGUAGAAGUAUUCUAGCCUCUCCUUUUCUCUCUCUCUCGAUCUCGAUUUUCUAGGUUGAAAUAUAGAGCAAAAAGUUGGUGGUGGCACUAUUAUGGAUCAAUAAGGUCUAAGGUUCACUUCUUGAAGAUCCCCCUGCUCCCCCCCCCCCCCUUCAAAAAUAAACAAAAAAAAAACACACACACACACACACACACACACACACACACACAAAAAGGAAAAAAAAAAAACUCAAAAUGCAGUUCCUCGUGGAAACUGGCUCCUGCUCGGCAUGCUAUCUUGAACGGCUAGCUCCGAUGCAGACAACCAAUAUUUGCAUCUAUACAGGGGAUUUUAAUCCUCAGUUUGCUAUUUUGAAGCAACAAGUGUCGGAUUGUACGUUAUCUGAAUGUACAUGUUCUUUGAGGAAUGGCUAUGAUGACUGCCUGGAUGCACCAGAACUGAAGCAUUUGACUGAAACGUAGCUUGGCAAUCUUUGGAAGGCUUGCAAUUCUGUGAGCAACCAUUAUGCAGCUGUUUGUGUAGUUCUGUGAAGAUUCUGAUGAAAAGGCCAGAUCUGAGCCACCUCCCUUCUCAGCAUCAUCUUCGUUAAAUUAUGAAAAGCUUUCUUGUACUUUAUCCUCUGUCACAAUUAUCUAACUGCUCGAGAAAGAUGGACUGUAGACAACCGUCCGCUUGUAGACAUCUUUGACUCUAUGGUAAACAGUUGCGACAUGUUUGUUGGGUAAAUGAAAGAAAUAUGUUGAACAAGAUGGUUGUGUGUCGAAAGAAAUGAUCUGUGCUGCUGUUUAAAGCUGCAUUCUUAUGUCUUUCCAUGUGGCAGCUGUGAUGAUUGCCAAGUAUGGAAGCAUCAAAACCCUUGAACAUUAGACUACACUUUGAUCUGCACAGCGUGGCAACUUUUGGACGGCUUGUUUAGCAAGCAUCCAUUUUGCGUUUGUAUGUGUAGUUCGCAAAUGCUCAUAAAAAUGGGGUGAAAAUGUGCAGAACUUAUCUGAACUAUGGACCAUUUCGAGAAAGGCAGAUUGUAGACAACCGUCCGCAUGUUUGUUGUGUAGACAUCUUAGACUCUAUGGUUAACAAUUGCGGCAUAUUUGUUGGGUAAAUAAAAGAAAUAUGUUGAUGGUCAUGUGUCAAUAGAGGCUCUAAAUUUGCACUUUUGUUCUGCGCCACAAAUGAGCUGUGCUGCUGUUGAAAGAUGCAUUGUUACCUCUUUCUAUGUGGUGGCUGUGAUGAUUGCCAUGUAUGGAUGCACCAAAUCCCUACAACAUUUGACUAAACUUUGAUCCGCACAGCUCGGCAACCUUAGGAAGGCUUAUUUUGCAAGCAUCCAUUUUGCUUUGUAUGUGUAGGUUUGCGAAUGCACACAAAAAUGGCAGAUCUGAGCCACAGCGUCUAAAUAUCUCCUUUUCCUUGUUUAGAACUAACAAUUUUUUACCCCUUGCUUGCUCUUGUUUAAAGAACUUCUGUUUGCUAAAUCGCCUCUUGCAACAAGGUGGUUAGUUGAUAAGAGGAAAAAUGUUCCUUUAUGACAAUAUAUGUUUUUGAAGUUUAGUGGUGAUAAUUACACCGCAGUUGGAGGGGGUUUGGCAUAUUUUUGUCUUUAAAUAUGGCCCGCAGGUAGUGUAGUUUUAACAGAGCAUUAGACCUGCCUGGCAGGAACAUUGGAUGGCCUGCUUAUAUGCUGGCAACCAAUUUUUGAUGCUGUAAGCUGGAGUUUGUACCGAGGUUCGUAUUAUUAGCGUUGAGCAUCGCGAUGUAACUUUUUGUAGUUGUACAGAGCCGAAGAAUUGCUCUUUUGCAUCCUUCUUCCUUAGUGGGUAAUCAAAAUUUCCACAAAAUUGGAACUUCAAAUCUCACUUCUUUCAAGUUUAUCCCCAAACCGGUUUUCUAUAAAAAUAAACUGAACAUGCGACUUCGGCAAUGCUGAGGACUCAUAGGGGUGACACGGUCGAAUACGGUCGGAUUUUUGAUGAAACCAUAUCCGUAUCCAUUUCGUAGGCUAAUUCGGGUAUGAUGAUGUUGGAUUCGAUCGGAUUUUAUCCUAACCAUUUUCACCCCUACUUGUGGUACAUUUAUUCAGAGGAAAAAUACUCUUGAGCCCUCCAAUGAGGGAUGGACGGAUGGAUGGACGGACGGGUACAUCGCUAAGGCGAUACGAAAGAGAGAACCCUGCGUUGGGGACAAGCAGAAAUGCAGGGAUGCUCCCUUCUUCCUGUAAGUCCCUCUGUCUCCUACUCUCUUCCACCCCAAAAAAAGGAAAAAAAAAAAAGAAAGAAAGAAGAAAGUCAUUUGUCUCGUUUCCCAUCUCUUCCUUUCCUCAAGUGUUUUUAGGUUAGACAGGGAAUGUGGUAAUGGCGGGGCAGUUCUGGACGGUCUGCUCUUCUGCAGGCUACUGAGCUGCAGCCAUUACUCCGGAAAUACAUUGGCGGGAGUGACGGUGGUCAUUCAUAAUGAUGAUGAUGAUGAUGAUGAUGAUGAUGAUGAUGAGGAUUAUAACCUUUGAAGGUGCUUCAGCUUUGUCUGAGGAUGCUUCCGGUGUCAAUGGCACUGGAUCAUGUUCCUCUUGAUACCUCACCUAUCUUCUUGAUACCUCACCUUUUUCUUGAUCCUCAUUAAAGCAGCUAUCAUUUCCUCCUACUUCCUUUCUUGAUGCCCUAUUGUUGUUGUUGUUGUUGUUGUUGUUGUUGUUGUUGUUAUCAUUAUUAUUAUUAUUAUUAUUAUUGUGGUGGUGGUGGUGGUGGGGGUGGAUGGAGUCUACCAUCUCCCUGCCCCUUCGUAAAAAGGGAAGCUUUCGUUUCUCGGGGUUGACCGAGCCCACACAUAUAUAUGUGUGUGUGCGCGCGUGCGCUUUUAGAAGCAUAUACUUUGAACUUUUGGACCCUUGGAUCCCUAUGGUUUACUAGCUAGUGAUGGUUAAAGUACGGAUCCAAGGGCUCAAAAGUUUAAGUUGUAACUUCUCAAAGCAGCAUAAGCUCUAUUCUAUAUAUAUACACACACACACACUGUUGGUGUUUGAGGGUUGGAAAAAAAAAAAACAACAGGAACAAUUCUAGAUGAGGGCUAAAGUUUCAGCAGAAGGUGGAUAGCAUGGUUAUCUUGGAAGGCUCUGCUGUUCUGCAGGCAAGCAUUAUUCUAUGUGAUGUCUUGCGAUGUACGAGAAGAGAUAUCUAUUCCUUUUUCUCAUGCAAUACUCUGUUUGGUGCCAAAUCAUUAUAGAAUUGAAUAUAUUUGCAAUUCCAUGAGGGCAUUUGUAUUGCAGAAAAUGCAAACUAUGGCAAAUCUGACCACAAACCAGUGGAUUUGCUUUAUCGGAAAUAAAUUUAAAGUACACCUGCUAAUGUCUACAAGGAUGAACCAGUUCUUCUUGGCAAUUUCAUCCAAAUCAGUGAUUUGGAGGAUUCCAAACAGGGAAUGAACAAGGCUUCGAUGAUUGCCAAUCUGGUUGCCCACAGUUUGCCCUUGCCGUUUCUUCUUUACCAUUGUACAGUGUAAACAUCUCUUAUAAUAUCAGUUGUUCCGUAAAUUGGAUGGUCUGCUAAUUUAGCAGGCAACCUUUGAAGCUUUUGAUGAGUCUCUUGCCAUGUUAUCAAUCACAGUACUUCUACAUCACUCCCUUAUCAGUGAUACAUCAUUUAUUCUACUAAAUUGGACUAUGGAACAUGUUGCAACAAUCAAGAAAUGUUGAUUCAGAAGUUGCAACAAAUUAAAGUUUAAGGACUAAAGUGUCAUCCGCCUUAUUGUUUGAGGACCAAACGUGUAAUUUAGCCUUAUAUUAACUUACAAAGCACCCAGGAUAAAAAGAAAGUACUGGAUUUUUUUUUUCCCCCUAGAGAAGCUUUCAAUGGCUUGCGAUGCAUCUGCUGUAUGCAAUAAUUUUCCUAUCUCAGCUGCUCACUAGGGCAGCCUUGCGGGGUAGCUGUAGCAGCACUCAAUUGGAGGGUCUGCUGUUUUGCAGGAAACCUUGUUCUAUCAUAUGUCUUUAAGGUACACAAGGUUACAUAAUGCCUGAUCGAAUGGCAAGUCGGAGCCUCUCUUUCCUUCUACUAUCUUUUCAACUAUCAAUAUUCUCAUGCUGACUGUAUGAAUGUCCUCAUGUUGACUGUAUGUUUCAAUCAGACAGGCCCUUAAUGUUUCAUGCUAUGCUAAAGAAGUGUUUCUCCUUCAUUUUAGUUGUCAAUGGAGGCUGUGAUGAUUGCCGGCUGGGGAUGCACCUCAGCUUCUUUUAUCCUUGCUUUUGACUCUUGGCGGAGUAAAGAAGCUGAUCGAAAUACUGGAUAUGAGAGGCAAUAUAGUCAGCUCAAACCAAACAUGUUUGUUGGAUUUUGACAAUUCUGGUGGGAUUUGAGUCUGGUUUGUUGGUUUUCUUGGUCCUUUUACGCUCCUUGACAGCCCUUUGCUUCGUUCCUUUGGGUGGUCUUGGGUGACAUGAUUCACCGGGUGCAGACAAUAAUUUUUCCUUUCUAAGCAGCUAUAAGGCCAACAUCAGCUACCUGUAGCAGUACUUAAAUUGGAAGGUCUGCGGUCUUGUAGGUAACAUUAUGCUGUUACGUCUUCAAGGUGCAUAAGAUUGCAGGACCCCUCAUAAGAUAUGAUUAAAUGGCAUAUCUGAGCCUCCAUUUUCUUCUCCUAAUUCAUUUUUUGCUAUUCAGUGGUACACUCUUCCCUCACCACCCCCCCCCCCCCCCCCNNNNNNNNNNNNNNNNNNNNCCCCCCCCCCCCCCCCCCCCCCCCCCCCCCCCCCCCCCCCCCCCCCCCCCCCCCCCCCCCCCCCCCCCCCCCCCCCCCCCCCCCCCCCCCCCCCCCCCCGCUCCUCUGGCUUUCUUGCUGCAUGUAGAAUCUAGGAUGGGUUGUUUCAUAUUUUCCUUAUCAACUUCCUGGAACCCUGCGUAAUGCUGGUUGAUGACAACUGGAUAGUUGUUCGGGGGUCUAUUUCAAAAUGGCCUAUAGUUGUGGGGAUCAUCAUACUAUUUAUCCUUCUCAAUAUAUUUGAGGGUUAUCCCAAUAUUGUGACUUAGUCCUCGAACCUAUUCCGUAAACACUUGUCCCUUAUCUUUCACAUAUUCUUGCAGUUCAUCCCUGGCCAUCACUUUGGUCCAUAUGUUCCAGGCAAGAUCUCUCAUUAGCACGCUUCAGUGUAAUUUAAUCACUAGAGGAUUGGCGCGUGAGUCGUAAUUGGGGGCAAGAAGAAGUACAGGGCAUGCUCCCUCCUUUGUAUAAGCCCCGCUGUCUACUUUCUCUUGCACCACAAAAAGCAGAAGAAAAAAAGAAAACAUUUUAAUGUUGAUAUGGGAUGGUGAUAAUAGUUUAAGAAGCUUCGGCUUCAUUUGAGGAUGCCUCCUAUGUUGAUGGCGUCAGAUUGCCAUCUUCUUGAUUCCUCUCAUAUUUCUAGAUUCUAGCUAAAGCAACUAUUAUCUUUUUUUUUAAUUACAUCUCCAUUUCUCUUCUUGAUGUCUUAUUUUUUUCUUCUUCUUCUUCUUGUUAAUUGCUGCUGUUAUUGUUAAUUUUACUAUAGUGGUGGUGGUGGUGGGUGGAGUCUAUCGUCUCCCCAUCCCCUCCCGAAAGGGAAAACCCAAAAAACUUCGCUUUUCGGUUUUGACCAAGCCUUCAUUCUUGGUUUUGGCUGUAUAUAUAUAGAGAGAGAGAGAGUUUGCGAUUAACUAUUUAACCCUUGGAUUUCAGCAGUAGGUGCAUGGCAUGGAAAUCUUGGAAGGCACUACUCUUCUACAGGCAACCAUUUUUCCAUGUGAGGCCUUGAAUGUACCAGAAGAUAUAUCUACUCCUUUUCUAAUGUAAUACUCUGUUUGGCACCAAAUCGUUGUAGAAGUGAGUAUAUUUGCAAUCCUGUGAGGGCAUUUUUGGAGCAAAAAUGCAAAUUAUGGUAGAUCCGACCACAAACCAGUGGAUCUGCCUAGAAUUGCUGAAAUCAUUUGAAACCAUUGAAAAUCAAUUCAAUCCACACCUGCUAAUGUUUCCAAGGAUUAACGAGUUCUUGUUUGCAAUUUCGUUCAAAUCAGUGAUUCAAAGGAUUCUAAACAGGGUGCAAAGGAGGCUGUGAUGGUUGCCAACCUGGGUGCCAACGGUUUGUCCAAGCCAUUUCUUCUUUGCUGAGUGUACAAAAUAAACAGCUCUUUUAGUAUCAGUUCUCCUUUGGUAAAUUGGAAGGUCUGCUAAUUUAGCAGGCAACCUUUACCACCAUAUAUUAUAAUGGUGCAAGAAUUAUAUGAUGCCUUUUGAAUAAAGUGGGGGAAAUGGUUGAGAACAGACUAAUUGAAGCUUUAGGUGGGUCUCUUGUGAUGUCAUCGACAACAAUACUGCCACAUUACUGCUACAUAUGUGAGACAUCACCAUCCACUCAACUAAAUUGGCUUGUGAGAUUUGAUUGCAACAGUCAAGGAAGUUCGAGACAGAAAAUUGUAGCAAUUAUAGUUUGAGGGCCAAAGUGUCACCCGCCUCAUAGUUUGAGAACCAAAAGUGUAAUUUAGCCUUUAUUUUAGCUAACAAACCACUGAGGGUGAAAAGACAGCGUUUUCUAGGAACUGGCUCCUGUGAUGCACCAGGUGCAGGCAAUAAUUUUCCUCUCUAUGCUAUGUGUGGCAGCACUCAAUUGGAAGGUCUGCUGUUUUGCAGGCAACCUUGUUCUGUCCUUUGUCUUUAAGGUGCAUAAGACUACAUGAUGCCUCUUGAAAUGUUCGAAUAGCAGGUCAGAGCCUCCCUUUCUUGCUUUCUUUUCAGCUAAAAUGUAUAUCGUGCUGACCGUCCAUAUGUCCUCGUGCUGGCUGAAUGCUUCAAUUGGACAGACCCUUAAUGUCUUGUGCAAUGGUAAGGAAAUAUUUCUCCUUCAUUUUACUUGCCAAAGAAUGCUGUGAUGAUUGCCAAUUGGGAAGGCACGUCAACUUAUUUUAUCAUGCCUUUUGACUCUCGGCAGAGCACAAAAGCUGAUUGAAAUACUAGAUUUAAGAGGCAAUAUAGUCAGGUCAAACCAAAGAUCUUGAUUGGGUUUUGAUAAUUCGAGUGGCAUCUGAAUCUUGUUUGUUGGUUAGCUUGGUGCUUCUACACCCCUUGAGUGCCCGUCACACACUUGUAUGCUGAUUCAGAUGUGGAUAUCCAAGCAUACAUCUCUCUUUCUCUCUCUCUCUUUGUCACGCCCCAGUUUCUUGGAGCGCCACCCAUUCUAGAACUACUCUAGCCGUAGGUUUGCUCAACCCUCUUAACCUUUUGGGCUUAGCCGCUGCUCAAAAUGGUAUUGCUAGGUUAAGAGGUUUAUCUCUAUAAUACCUUAUAUAUAGGACUUCCAAAUCCUAGGGGUGUCACAUUCUCCUCUCGGUUACCUGCUUCCCUCUUUUAGGCUCUGACGUCCUCUCAGGUUCAAACACACUCACAAGCACCGCCGAUGUGAGACUCGUCUUCCUAGCCUUAGAUAACCUUGUGGGGAGCCGCGCUCCACCCACAAUGGCCGUCAGUCGGAGAGCCGUGCUUUUGCCCGUUUUAUGACCCUGGCUCAGCCAAGGAUCAUCUCACACUUAUGGUUGGUGAUUGGCUUUGAUACCAACUGACGCCUCGCUUCCCAGAGGGGUCAUCCAUCCAAGAACUACUCUAGCCUUAGGCUUGCUCAAUCCUCUUAAUCUCUUAGGCCUAGUCACUGCUCAAAAUGCUAUAGCCGGGUUAAGAGGUUUAGCCCUACUAUAUCUUAUAUAUAAAACUAUUCCAAAUCCCGGGAGUCUCCCUCCCCCUCUCCCCCUCCCACCCCCCCCUCCUGAUUGUCUCAUGCCCUAAUGACCAUUUAUAGUCAUAAUCUAUUUCAAGUAAUUUUGGAUUCGAUCAAAUAUCAUAUUUCUAUUUGUUAUAUAAAAUUAUGUGCAAGGCAUGUGAUCAAAACAGUAGCUCAAUUAGUAACUUCACCUGAACAGAGGGGUUCACUAAACUAUUUGAUAAAGUUUUUGCGGUUUUGUUGCCAAAAAGUAAAAGUUUAGGCUCCUGUUUGCAAAAGUGUUAAAGUGCAGAGUACUAAUUUUUGAUGUUUAUAUAUCUAAAAUCAUUUUCUUAAAAUGUAACUGGAAAUUGCCAAGCAGCUCUGGACUGUCUGCUCUUCUGCAGGCUACAGAGCUGCAGCCAUUAUUCCAGAAAUGUUGUGGCGGCGGCGGCUGCAGCUGCAGUUGGUGAUCAUUCAUAAUGAAGAUGAGGAUGAUGAUUAUAACCUUUAAAGAGGCUUCUACCGCAUCUAAAGAGGCCUCCUAUGUCGAUGGCAUCUGAUUGUCAUAUUCUGAUACGGUGAUACCUCUCGUAUUUCUCAAUCCUCGCUUAACUAUCAUCAAUUUUUUUUUCUACUUCUCCAUUUCUCUUCAUGAUGACUUGUUGUUGUUGCUGCAGCUGAUGGUGUUCUUGUUAUUGUUGCUGUUGUUAUUAUUAUUGUUAUUGAGGUCGUGGGGUUGGAGGUGGGUGGAGUCUGAAUGUCUCCCCGCCCCUUCCUGAAAGCCGAAACUUAGAAAACUUCGCUUUGCUGGGUUGACUAAGCCUUCAUUCUUGGUUCUGGUUAUAUAUAUCUAUAUAUAUAUAGAUAUAGAUAUAGAUAUAUAGAAACAGCUUGUAUUUGGGGGACAAAAAGGACAAAACAAACAGCAAUGAAACCAAAUGAGGCGUUAAGUUUACAGUAGUAGUUGCAUGGCAUGGUAAUUUGGAAGGCUCUGCUUUUCCGCAAGCAAUCAUUUUUCCAUGUCUUUUCUUUUUUAUACUUGGUGAAAUGGUUGAGAACAAACUGAUUGAAGCUUUUGGUUGUCUCUUGCGAUGUCAUCAACCACAAUGCUGCCACAUUACUGCUAUAUUAAUGAGACAUCACCAUUCACUUAACCAAAUUGGCCUGUGAGACUUGAUCGCAACAAUCAAGAAAGUACGAGCUACAAAUUGCGGCUAUUAUUGUUUGGGGACCAAAGUGUCACCUGCCUCAUAGUUUGAGGACCAAAAGUGUAAUUUAGCUUUAUUUUAUCUAUCAACCCUUGGAACAGGCAUUAAUUUUCCUAUCUCAGCACUCUGUUGGAAGGUCUGCUGUUUUGCAGGCAACCUUGUUCUGUCAUUUGUGAUGCCUCUUGAUGUGAACGAAUGGCAGGUCGGAGCCUCUCUGUCCUUCUACUUUCUUUUCACUGUUGAUAUUUCUCAUGCUGACCGUCCAUAUGUCCUCAAUCCUCUUGCUGACUGUAUGCUUCAACCGGAAGGCCCUUACUGUUUCAUGCAAUAUUAAGGAAGUGUUUUUCCUUCGUUGUACUUGUCAAAGGAGGCUGUGAUGAUUGCCACUUGGGAAUGCACCUCAACUUCUUUAAUCCUUGCUUUGGAUUCUCGGCGUAGUGUAGAAGCUGACCAAAAUACUGGGUAUAAGAGGCAAUAUAGUCAACUCAAACCUGAGACCUUGGUUGGGUUUUGACAGUUCGGGUGGGAUUUGAAUCUUUUUUUCUUUUUUUUUUUAAUUUUAUAUUUUAGUCCUUUUACACCCCUUGAGAGGCCUUUACGUGGUUCAUUUGUGGGAUAGACAGCAUCUCAGUGGAUGGCUUUUGGCUGACAUGAUCACCUGGUGUAGGCUAUAAUUUUUCCUUUCUCAGCAGCUCAUAUAACCAACAUUAAGUACCUGUAGCAGGACUUAAAUUGGAAGGUCUACUGUCUUGGAUGCAACAUUUUGCUGUCGUGUCUUUAAGGUGCAGAAGAUUGCAAGAUCCCUUGCGAGAUGAUUAAGUGGCAAAUCUGAGCCUCCAUUUUCUUCUCCUACUUUCUUUUAGCUAUUAGGAUUUGGUGGUACAUUAUUUAUUUUUCCCAUUUUUUCUUUUCCUCCUCUGGCCUUCUUACUGCAUGUAGAACCUAGGUGGGUUGUUUUCAAAUAUUCCUUAUCUACUACCUGAAAUGUGACACUCUACUUCAUGCUGGUUGAUGCUAAAUCAUUUAUCCUGUAUGUCUUCAGAUUUAGGCAACUUGUUAGUCUUUUAGAUUUUGAAAAGAACUAAAAACAGAUAAAGAUUCGGAUGUUUGGCAUGUAUAUCUGUAUAUUUGCAUGCUGAUUCAAAUGUGGGUAUCCAGCAUACUUGUAUAUCUACUUUUCCAUUUCUCUUCUUGAUGCCUUGUUGUUGUUGCUGCUGCUGCUGUUGUUAUUCUUGUUAUUAUUAUUAUUAUUACUAUUGUUAUUGUUAUUGUGGUCGCAAUGGUGGUGGUAGAGGUGGGGUGGAGUAUCGUCUCUCCGCCCCUUCCUGAUGGGGGAAACCCACAAAAAUUUGCUUUUCGGGUUGACCAAGCCUUCAUUCUUGGUUCUGGUUCUAUAUAUAUAUAUAUACAUACAAACUGUUUGUAUAUAGAGGAAAAAAGAAAAAGAAAAAAGCAACGAAACCAAAUGAAGCCUUAUUAAGGUUUCAGUGGAAGGUGCAUGGCAUGGCAAUUUUGGAAGGCUCUGCUUUUCUGCGAGCAACCAGUUGUCCAUGUGUUGCCUUGCUUAGAUUUGCCGAAAUGGCUGAGAGCAAACAAAUUGAAGCUUUCGAUGGGUCUCUUGGUUGUCAUCAACCACAAUACUGCUGCAUUACUGCUACUUUAGUGAGACCACCAUUUACUCAACAAAAUUGGCCUAUGAGACGAUUGCUACAAUCAAGAAAUUUUCGAGCCAGAAACUGCAAGUAUUAUAGUUUUGAGGACCAAAGUGUCAUCUGCCUCAUAGUUUGAGCACCAAAGUGCAAUUUAACCUUAUUUUAUCAAACGAACCAAGGAACAGGCAAUAAUUGUCCCAUCUCACCUGCCUGUGGCAGUACUCAAUUGGAACUCAAUUGGAAGGUCUGUUGUUUUGCAGGCAACCUUGUUCCAUCAUUUAUCUUAAAGGUGCAUAAGAAUACACGAUGCCUCUUGAUAUGAUUGAAUGGCAGGUCAGAGCCAACUUCUUUCAUCCUCUCUUUUGUUAUACUUGUCAAAGGAGGCUGUGAUGAUUGCCACUGGGGAAUGCACCUCAGCUUCUUUAGUCCUUGCUUUUGAUUCUUGUUGGAGUGCAGAAGCUGACCAAAAUACUAGGUAUAAGAGAGUCAACUCAAACCUGAGACCUUGGUUGGGUUUUGACAGUUCAGGUGGGAUUUGAAUCUGGUUUUUUUUGGUUAUUUUGGUUCUUUUACACCCCUUGAGACGCCUUUGCAUGGUUCAUUUGUUGGAUAGACAGCAUCUCAGUGGAUGGCUUUUGGCUGACAUGAUCACCUGGUGCAGGCUAUAAUUUUUCCUUUCUCAGCAGCUCAUAUAUGACCAACAUUAGGUACCUGUAGCAGGACUUAAAUUGGAAGGUCCACUGUCUUGGAUGCAACCUUUUGCUGUCGUGUCUUUAAGGUGCAGAAAAUUACAAGAUCCCUUGCGAGAUGAUUAAGCGGCAUAUCUGAGCCUCCGUUUUCUUCUCCUACUUUCUUUUUAGCUAUUAGGAUUUGGUGCUACAUUCUUUAUUUUUCCUUUUUUUUCUUUUCCUCCUCUGACCUUCUUACUGCAUGUAGAACCUAGGUGGGUUGUUUUCAAAUAUUCCUUAUCUACUUCCUGAAACGUGACACCAUACUUCAUGCUGGUUGAUGCUAAAUCAUUUAUCCUGUAUGUCUUCAGAUCUAAGGCAACGUGUUAGUCUUUCAGAUUUUGAAAAGAACUAAAAACGGAUUAAGAUUCGGAUGUUGGGCAUAUAUAUCUGUAUACUUCUAUGCUAAUUCAAAUGUGGGUAUCCAACAUACAUGUAUAUCUACUUUUCCAUUUCUCUUCUUGAUGCCUUGUUGUUGAUGCUGCUGCUGCUGUUGUUAUUAUUAUUAUUAUUUUUGUUAUUAUUAUGGUCGCAGUGGUGGUGGUGGAGGUGGGUGGAGUCUAUCGUCUCUCCACCCCUUCCUAGGGAAACCCACAAAACUUUGCUUUUUGGGGUUGACCAAGCCUUCAUUCUUGGUUCUGGUUAUAUACAUACAUACAAACAUUUUGUAUAUAGAGGAAAAAAGAAAAAGAAAGGAAAAAGAAAGCAACAAUAACAACGAUACCAAAUGAAGCCUUAAGGUUUCAGUAGUAGGUGCAUGGCAUGGUUAUUUUGGAAGGUUCUGAUUUUCUGAGAGCAACCAAUUUUCCAUGUGUUGUUUUGCUUAGACUUGCCGAAAUGGCUGAGAACAAACAAAUUGAAGCUUUCGCUGGGUAUCUUGGGAUGUCAUCAACCAUAAUACUGCUAUGGUAGUGAGACAUCACCAUUUACUCGACCAAAUUGGCCUGCGAGAUGAUUGCAAGUUUUGCAACAAUCAAGAAAGUUUGAGCCAGAAAUUGCCAGUAUUAUAUUUUUGAGGACCAAAUUGUCAUCUGCCUCAUAGUUUGAGCACCAAAAGUGAAAUUUAGCCUCAUUUUGUCUAACAAACCACAGAACAGGCAAUAAUUUUCCUAUUUCACCUACCUGUGGCAGCACUCAAUUGGAACUCAAUUGAAUGGUCUGCUGUUUUGCAGGCAACCUUGUUCCAUCAUUUAUCUUAAAGGUGCAUAAGAAUACAUGAUGCCUCUUGAUAUGAUCGGAUGGCAGGUCAGAGCCUCUCUUUCCUUGUGCUUUCCUUUCAGCUAUUAAUAUUUCUCAUGCUGACUGUUCAUAUGUCCUCAUUCUGACCGUAUGCUUCAAUCAGACUGGCGCUUAAUGUUUCAUUCAAUCUUAAGGAACUGUUUCUCAUUCAUUUUACUUGUCAAAGGAGGCUGUGAUGAUUGCCAGUUGGGAAUGCACCUCAACUUCUUUUAUCCUCUCUAUUGAUUCUCGGCGGUGUAAAAACUGAUCGAAAUACGGGAUAUAAGAGCCAAUAUAGUCAGCUCAAUCCUUAGAUCCUGAUUGUGUUUUUAUAAUUCGGGUGGGAUUUGAAUCCAGUUUGUUGGUUAGUUUUGUCAUUUUGCUUCCCUUGAGAGCCUCUCGCUUCGUUAAUUCGUGGGAUAGACAGCAUCUCAGUGGGUGGCUUUUGGCUGACAUGAUUCACCGGGUGCAGGCAAUAAUUAUUCCUUUCUCAGCAGCUCAUCAGGCCAACAGUAGCUCCUGUAGCAGUAGUUAAAUUGGAAGGUCUGCUGUCUUGCAGGCAACCUUAUGCUGUUCAUAUCUUUAAGGUGCAUAAGAUUACAAGAUCCCGAUCCCUCAUGAGGUGAUUGAAUGGCAUAUCUGAGCCUCCAUUUUAUUCUCCUAAUUCCUUCUUAGUUAUUAAGAUUUAGUGGUACAUUCAUUUUUUUCGUAGCUAUUAAGAUUUAAUAGUACAUUCAGUUUUUUCUGUUUUAUUUUUAAUUUUUCAUCCUCUGGCUUUCUUACUGCAUGUAGAAUCUAGGAUGGGUUGUUUCAAAUAUUCCUUAUCAACCCCGUGAAACCCUACUUUAUGCUGGUAGAUGAUGACUGGAUAGAAGUUUGGGUGUCUAUUUCAAAAUGGUCUACAGUUGAGGGAAUGUUCAUCCUAUUUAUCCUUCUCAAUAUACCUGAUGGUUAAAAUGUAUUGAUAGUCCGUCUUAUCCCAAUACUAUCCCCAUAUUGUGACUUAGUCCUUGAACCUUUUCCAUAAACGCUCCUCUCUCACCUUUCCUUUAUUCUUGGAAUUUCAUCCCUGCCGUCUUUUUGCUCCAUAUGUUGCAAGCAAAAUCUCUCGUUAGAACUCUGCAUUGUAAUUUAAUCACUAGAGAGGAUUGGCAGGCGCGUGAUCAGUAAUUGGAGGUAGCUCUGGAUGGUCUGCGCUUCUGCAGGCAACCUAGCUUGCAACCAUUUAUCCGGUCAUGGUUGGGGCAGAGGAGGAGGUGGUGGUAGUGGUAAGGAUUGGAUAUAUGUGGGUUCAUAUGAUCCUCUUCUCUGAUUAUGGUAUCAUCAUUGUUAUCUUCUUGGCACUUGCUUAUUCUCUUGAUCGAAGUUCCUGUAAAGGAUAUCUUUUAUCAUUUAUUUCUAUUUCGCAAUUCCUGUUCCUUGAUGUGUUUCAGU